AAUCCAAGCCCUAGGAAGGUUCUAAACCAAUCAAUCUAGCCCCAAAAGCCCUAGAUCAAAAAGCCCCAAAAAUUAACCCUAAUACCCAUUCUAGGGUUUCAACACAAGAAAAAUCUCAAAUCCAACGUUUAGAUGGAGAGAAAGGGCUACCAACCUCAAAGAAGCUUCAAUCCAAGCUCAAAGGGUGAAGAUCUUCUCCUUUGCAAGCUCCAAGUCCAAGCCUUCAAGCACCAAGGAAGAAGAGGGGAUGAGGAAGAUGCUCCAAGCCUUCAAAAGCCCUCAAUCUUCUUCUUCUUCCUUCCGUCUUCUCCUUCUCCUUCUUCUUCUUCUUCUUCUCUAUCAAGGGUGUAGAGAGGGUUGAGAGGAGAGAAAUGAGGAGAAGAGAGAAGGGAUGGGUCAUAUAGACCCUCUAUUGCAACAAAAUCCCAAGAGGCCCCUCAAAAAUCCAAUAUUGCAUCAGCCCGAACUGGGCAGUUUUCGCCCAGAGGGACCGGUCUCUCCCCAGCAUACCGAACUUAUAAAAUUAUGAAGUUACGGUGUACGUUUAAAUGGUUCCGGUGAGGUUGCGGUGGAAUGUAACAUACCGGAUUUUAAAUAUAAAAAUAAAAAUAAAUAAAAAUAGUAUGAGAUACUAUUUUUAUUUGAUUUAGAGAAGUGAAAUAUAGGUUGGGAAUGACCUGUGUUGAAAUCGGAGCGAAAACAGAAGAUUUAGAAUUUUCUGUGAGAAACAGGGCAGAUAAAUUAGCAGAAAAUGCACAGUCUCAGAAAAUUAUGAAAAUUGGCGAGGAUGUCAGANCUUUCACUGCGAAGACGCGUUCGGGAACCGGUCUCGCCCGCCAGGGACCGGUUGCCUCAGGCUGCCUCAACACUGCUCACUGGGGGAACCGGUCUCUCCUUCCAGGGACCGGUCCCCGAGAGUAAAAACUCUCAGGACUUGACCAAAGUUCCAAAUUUCGAACUUUUUGGGUCGGGAAACAUUUUACAACCCUCCACCAAGUGUGGAAAAGCUCGAAAUACAUCCAAACACUCGAACCUCGCAAUUUGCAAAGGUCCAGUGUGUUACAGUCCUCAUCCUUGGGCACACACCAACGGUUCUGAAAUCGAAGUGAGUCAUCGGACCCUACGCCGAAAUCACUGGCGCGCCCACAUUCCACAUCACUCUGCACCUUUUGGAGAUAUGGAUCCAUAGCCUGUCGUUCCUUAAUCCUCUCCAACAAGGUCGGUUGAACCACCAAUGCGGCAAGGAUAGCCAAAACCUCUGGAGCUACUACUUCAAGACCCAACCGUUGCAUCUUAUUCUGCAAUGCUGGUUGAUGCGUGAUUGCCGUAGCUAGAUCUUCCACCGACUUUCUGCUCAGUGCAUCAGCCACUACGUUGGCUUUUUCUAGGUGGUAUAGAAUAGUGACAUCAUAGUCCUUCAGUAAUUUUAGCCAACGACAUUGCUGUAUAUUCAAUUCCUUCUGGGUGAACAAGUACUUGAGGCUUUUAUAAUCAGUAUAUACCUCACAGCGCUCACCGUACAGGUAGUGCCUCCACAACUUCAACGCGAAUAUUACCGCGGCUAGCUCAAGGUCAUGCAUAGGAUAGUUUUUUUCAUAGCUCUUAAAUUGGCGAGAAGUAUAAGCAAUGGCUCGCCGACAUGUAUUAGAACACACCCAAGACCACUAUAAAAAGCAUCACUAUAAAUCACAAAACUCUCCCCAGGGAUCGGUAGAGCGAGUACCGGGGUCGAAGUCAAUCUUUCUUUCAACUUCCGGAAGCUCCGAUCGCAAUCGUCGCUCAACACAUACUUUAUUCCCUUGUGCGUUAGGCGCGUUAGUGGAGUAGUUAUUUUGGCAAACCCCUCCACAAACCGCCGAUAGUAGCUCGCAAGACCAAGGAAACUGCGGACGUCCGCAAUAUUCGUCGGGCGAGGCCAAUCUUUAGUCGCCUCAACUUUCUUCGAGUCAACAGAAACACCACUCCUAGAAAUCACAUGGCCUAAGAAGGCAACCUCACGAAGCCAAAAGUCGCACUUCUUUAGCUUAGCAUAGAGCUUGUUUUCUUGAAGUAUUUGUAUCACGGUCCUCAAAUGCUCCUCGUGCUCUUCAUCCCUCCGAGAAUAGAUCAAUAGGUCGUCAAUGAACACCACGACGCAUUGAUCCAACAACGGCCGGAAGACUCGAUUUAUCAAGUCCAUAAACGCUGCAGGGGCAUUUGUAAGCCCGAAUGGCAUUACCGUGAACUCAUAAUGGUCAUAACGCGUACGAAACACCGUUUUAUGCACAUCCUCCAGCUUGAUCUUUAAUUGGUAGUAUCUCGACUGAAGAUCAAUCUUUGAAUAUACCCGAGACCCUUGCAACUGGUUAAACAUGUCAUCAAUUCUCGGCAACAGGUAUUUAUUCUUAAUCGUCACUUUGUUCAGCUCACAAUAAUCCACGUAAAGCCGAAGUGUUCCAUCUUUUUUUUUCACAAAUAGCACCGGAGCUCCCCACGGCAACACACUCGGCUUCACAAAGCCUUUGUUGAGUAUGUCUUGCAGUUGAGCCUUCAAUUCUCUUAACUCCGCCGGUGCCAUUCUAUACGGGGCCUUUGAAACUAGCGCCUUUCUGGGAACCAAGUCAAUGACGAACUCGAUAUCCCAGUCCGGUGGCAAUCAUGGUAAUUCCAUAGGAAACACAUCUGAAAAUUCACAUACCACCGGAAUAUCCCCAAGUGUUGGGAGAUCCUUCUGAGUCUCCACCGCAGAAGCCAAGUAGGCAACACAUCCUAUUAAUCAACUUUCUCGCUCUCGACGUUGACACCAUCAUAGUAAAGAGUGAGUCUUUACCUGCACGAUAAACCACCUCCUCCUCACCAGGCUCACGAAAAGUGAUUACCCUGCUCUCAUAAUCAAUUGUAACAUAGUACUUUGAGAGCCAAUCUAUCUAAAGAAUUAUGUCGAAGCCCUUCAUCCGGCUCAAGACAAGCAAAUCCGCCGGCAUAAUCCAGUUGCCAAUUUGUAUUGGACAAGCCGCGCACUCCUCCUUAACACUGAAAGUGUGCUCGGGUGCAUAAACCCACCAAGCAUCCGGACUAUCCGAAAUCUCAAUAUCAUGAGUUCUAGCGAACGACAUGCUAAUGAAUGAAUUUGAUGCGCCAGUGUCGAAUAAUGUUCUAGUUCUGAAGCCAUUAAUUAAAACAAUACCUACCACGACAUCGUCGGCUACGACAGGCUUAUAUACCUGGGCAGCAAAAAUCCGACCACUCGGCGCCGCUCGAGAUCUCUCUGGAUGGCGCGGCACAGAUGAGCAUCUAGCCGACAUAGCAGGUGGCAAUCCCGCAAGCUGAAAAUAAAAAUUCUAUAAAAAGUGGUGAUAUAGUACUAAAAUUUUCGAUCAGAAAUAUUGAUCUUGUUGUAGAUAGUAUAAAGAAUUUUGUAUCAAAAUUUCAUCUGAUUUGAAUACUUCUAUACCGUUAAACUUGAAAACGGCAGAUAGCAACCAUUAAAAAUUAUUGAUUUUGAAUCCUUUCGAUUGCUAGGUAAAUGAUAUCAAAAAAUCGCAAAAAAUAUUUUCUAGAAACUUCAAAUAUGCUAGAUCAAGUCUAACGGAGCCGAUCGUCGAUUCAAAAAUUCCAUCAUCGAAAACGGCUUAGGAGCACGGAAGCCUCCGUGCUCCUGAGAGCACAGCAGCCCUGCUAUAUAUAUAUAUAUAUAUAGAGAGAGAGAGAGAGAGAGAGAGAGAGAGAGAGAGAGAGAGAGAGAGUCCGUCCCCCGUACUUUCGAAAGUAUGGAAGGCUCCGUGCUUGUAAGUUAUUUUCGAUGAUAGGACGUUCGAUUCGACGAUCGGCUCUAUUAGGUAUGAUCUACCCUAUUGGAACUAUCUAUAAACCAAAUUUUAGAUUUUUUUGACAUCAUUUACUAAGCGAUCAAAAUGUCUAAAAAAUAACUAUUUUAACAGUCGAUGUGGCACAUUUUUAAGUUCAACGGUGUAGAAGUAUCCAAAUUACAUGAAAAUUUAAUAGAAAAUUCUACUUAACAUCAGUAGCGAGAUCAAUACUUCAGAUUUAAAAUUUGAAUCCUUUAUCACUGUUUUUUAUGAGAUUUUCAUUUUCAGCCGUUAUUUUGAGGCUACUCGUUCACUAGACAAACGAAAUAAAAAAAUUAUGAAAUUUAGUUUCUAGAUAGUUCCAAUAGCGUAGAUCAAGUUUAACGGAGCCGAUCACCGAAUCGGAUGUCCCAUCAUCGAAAACAACUUACAAGCACGGGGCCUCCGUACUUUCGAAAGCAUAGGAGUCUAGCUCUAUAUAUAUAUAUAUAUAUGUUUUAGUUUUAGUAGCUUUAUAUUUCUGGUUGUAGUUAUGACUUGUUUACAGGUAUAGCAAUCGUUUCGUAUAUACGAGAAAAUUUCUAUAUAUACGGCGGGGUCUGUUGGCGUCUCCGAAAAAAUUUGGUAAUCCGGAGCGUGACAUUAUCAAAUUAUCAAAACAUGCAAAUUUGCCAUUUACAAUAAAAGAUUUUUUUUUCUGAUUAAGGAUUAAAAAUGUCCUAUAUAUUAGAUUUCCUUAGAGGAGUUUGGUUCCUAGGAUAACCAUGGAAAACUAUUUCUUAAAAAGAAAAUCUUUUUAUGGAAAUAUCAUUUCCAUAAUUUUUGUCAUCCAAAUAAGAAAAAAAUCUGAAAAACUAAAAGAAAUUCUUCCGUAAAAUUUUUUUAAAAAAAUAAAAAAUUAUUAUUUCAAAAGUUUAAAUGAAAAAAGUACUCUUCUAUCUAAAAAAUUAAUUUUUUAUUUUCUAUUUCGGCAGAACCAAACGCCUUAGGAACCAUAUUGCAGUAUCCUGUGAUACUCAGAAAUUGGCAGUCCGAAUUAGGGCUGGCAAAAGAGCGAGCCGGCUCGCGUUCGACUCGUGUUCGGCUUGAUAUUCGGCUCGCUCGAGCUCGACUCGAAAUUAAAUGAGCCGAGCUGUCACGCCCCGGGGUCCCUUUUAGUUGGAAACACAGCGGAAAAGCGUCCAAAUUUUUUUUUUGAAAACCUGACCCCAGAGUAUGCCAGAUCCGCCACAAAUACAGGGAAUCCACUGUUUACACGGACAGAGUCUCCCCUGUAUUUGCACGACGUCGCACAAGUACAAGGUACAAACAGGAUACAACCACAACAACUAGAUGAAUAUAAAGAUAGCUAUACAUUCAUACAUUCACCAUUCACAUCACAGUUUUACAUUCAAUGUUUAAACAAAAAUCCACGUAAAACCUUUUAAAAAAACUGUUCCCUACGCGGAAACUUUUAUCUUUUAAAGAAUACUACCACGAGGGAUAGAAAACCUUUUUAUUUUACCAAAUCUAGAAAUCCUUUUAUUACAUUCAUGAAAAUCCACAUAUUCAAAAGUAAUGACAAUACUGAACCAUAUAAACUAUCUGAGCUAUAUCAACAGAAUAGUAAAGGUAGGAACUACACCGAAUAACCUGGGUCGGAAGAUCUAUCGACCGCUACGUACGUGUCUCACGUCACGUCUCAACCCUCACCGCCCGCGAUACCUGAAAAAUAGUGGGGGAGGUGAGAACAUGUAAACAUGUCUCCCCUCCCAGUGGGUACCGCAAGCCGAAGAAGGCGAGGAGUACUCACCGGAUCGGGAAGAUAAACGAUAGUAUAAGGGUAAGUGAAAUACAGUAGCAACGAUCAUAACGAAAGAGAUAUAGAUGAAAGAACAACUACCGCUACUGUAAACAGAACGACAAGCGUACAUACAGAGAUAUCAGACUAUAGUAGCAAGACAAGUGUAAGAAAGAACUAUAGGUAUACCUGUAAACAACUGCUACUAUAACGAAGAACCGAAAACGUAACAAUAUGCGGAAACUGUAGUAGCAAGACAACUGUAAAGCAAGACUGUAAGUAUGCAUCAACCGGUCGCAUAUAUCAAAAUACCCAAUCUAAACCUGCCAUGUUGGUCCGGAGACCUCAGGCUCGUGCCAUAUCCACUCAACCUGCAUAUAACCCAAUCUAGCCUUUGGGCUCACGGGUCGGACGUACGACCACUUUUCCGGAAAAGAACACUCCCUGCGGUGGAUCAGACCGCCAGUGUUCGUGAAAUGCUAACGAGUGGUGGCGAUCGAUGCUGAUAUGCUCAAUAGCCAACCGUCGGCGACCAGCCGACAAUCACUGCCCCUCUGGGCAUACCGACCAGAUAGGUCAUCAAGUAACAACGUGAACUGACCGAGAUAGGUCAAAGUACGGGAAGUAACGAACAACCAAACAUGUCACAGAUGCAAACAGGAGAACCGACCAACCAGGUCACUAGUAUAGUAUAUACGAAUGUCACCUACUCUACCCCUACACAGGAUACUACACAUGGAACAACCAGGCAGAGUAAAUAAAGAUAGUAUAUAAAUACUGUUCGAUGUCAAGUAAAUGUACGAACGCAAGAACCGACCGAUAGGUCACAAGAGUGUAUCGAUAUAGUCCAGAACUACCGUCAGCACCAGCUGACAAUCCUACCCCUCAGGGUACACCGGCCUCAAAGGUCAUCAACGACGGAACUCACGAAGCUGAGCGACUAGGUCACAAACAUACCAAACAGUGGAACUGAGUAGACUAUAAUCAUCCGUCGGCGUUAGCCGACAAUCCCACCCUUUAGGGUAUAUCGACUUCAAGGGUCAUCGAACGGAAAGAGAGAACUGACCAAUCAGGUCACCGAAACGAAGUACGAGAACCGACCACUCAGGUCACUGGAAUCACAUAUGGAUAAACUACUCUACUCCUACACAUGAUACUAAGCAUGGAAACAUUCAAGUAGAGUAUAAUAAAAUCAACUGGGAUGCAAGCUCAAUAGACAAUACGAUAGUAGCAACCAGAGAACAGGGAUAGAAGACAUAUCACCGAGCGUGCACCACUGUACCGACUUCGGAUCGAAGUACCCACCUGUACAAAUGCUGCGCCUGUCUCCUGACUGCAAAAGAACGUUAACCGGACCUAAGGAAGGUCCACCGGGUUAGUGUCUAACCCACAGCUAAUAACCACUAAAUCCACAAUCUACAAGCAAACCCAUGGGGACCAGUUUUCCAAACCGAUCGCCGUAAUACGCCGGAAGUCCCGUAAUCGCACGGGGACUCCGCCGGGACCCACGAACUGUCCCGGAACAUACUGACUCGAGCUACGAGUCACCUGCUGCCACUAAACCUAAAUAAUCAUGCAUCAUGGCAGCGAACACAACUCGUCGUGUCGAAACAAUUAUCGUCGGAUAAUCGUUUCGAUUCGGGUUCCCGGAAGUGUCUAAUUCGACACCGGAACCCACCGUCGCUCACCCGUCAUUUCCGAACUCUCGAAAUGACGCAAGUGACCAGCCAACAAGGCUCAGCGACUACGCAAAAGCUCACGAAGCACCGUCGGAAUAAUUCCGAACCGAACCCGCGUUCCGUCGGCGGAUUUCGCCGAAAAACGCACCGGAAAUGCAUUUCCGAUCUUCGCAAGGGUCUGGGGCCUUGGACAAUCAGUCCAGAGGUCAAACACACUCACGGGCAACUGCUCAACAUUUAAAAUCAGUAGCCACACAAUGCACAAUUGCAUAAAAGCCCCUCAAUUUACAUAAAUAUUCUAUCAUUUAUUAUUUGAGCGUCAACGCGACUCGUUCACAGCCAAACCGAGGACUUUACAAAGUAGCGCAAAGACACGUACUGACAGGUCUCGAUGUACCAGGAGUCCGUGCUCCAUAUCGGGAGCACAGCGGCUCGUGUGGGAGCGCGGAGCACCGAAGGUUCAGGGCGAAGAGCGCGCAAGUUCAAGAAGUAUCGCGCCGAACAAGACUAACCGGACACUUCUGAUCCAGAGGGAAGGUGUAGAAUUGUGAUCAUCACUAGACCGCGUCACCGCCUGCUCACGCUCCCGGAGGCAUCGAACAGCCUCGAUCACCGAAAAAAAAGCACAAACCGCGAAACAACAACCAAAAGCUGAAACGGAGGCGACGUCGUCAAAACAGCGGAACGGGACUUCCCGACACGAAGCCAAGUGAGCACGAUGAUCAAAGGGCAACUUGCCAGGAUCAUCGGGUGCUCCUCCCGUAGAGAUCGGGAAGGUCGGAACCAGAACAAGAAACCCAUCUCAAAUAAGCCUUAGUUUUGGGCUGGCCGGAGCAACCUUUGCUCCGGCCAGCCUGCCGGCAGCACACGGCAGCGGCGGCGCCGCAGGGCCCCUGAUCGGUGCUGGAGAGGGAGGAAGCUCCGUGCUCACCUCGUUGGCGACGAGAAGCGGCGGCGGCCGGAGCAAGCUCGGCCGCACUUCAGAGGAAAGGAAGGGCAAAAACAAAAAACAGGGGAGGGACCAACAGCAAAACCCAAGCUAGGACACGGAAUUCCAAGAGCUGCGGCCACGACGGCGGCCGGGGAGGUCUCGGGAUGACGAUCGUGCAGAGGUGCCCAGAGGCCAGAGAGGAGGAAAGGAGGCCGCCUCUCGAGCGGCGGCGGCGGGCGGAGAAGACCGCAACAAAGCCCUCGGCCUGGCUGCGGGCUAGGCGGCCGCCUGCCGAGGCGGUGACGGCGGCGCACGGGCGGGCGCUGACUAGGCCGGGCAAGGGGUGCCCGGCACGGAAGAGGUCGGGAGGAUUCAGGUGGUGCGGCGCGGCUGGCGCAGUGGUACCCGGUCGCAGGGCUCGGUCCUGGGGCGCGCUGCACGUUGGCGAGCAAGCGACGGGGAGAUGAUCGGCGAGCACACGGGCGACACCGGAGAGGUCCGAAGAUAGCGGGGCGCAGAUCUCAGGCCUCCUCCGAACCCAAGAAGAGAUACGGAGAGAGAAAGAGAGCGGAGAGAUGAGAGAAGGAUGGAGCAGGAGCCAGCGUCCGGGCGGCCAGCGGCGUGCUCAGGUGGACGGGCGCGGCGCGCGGGGAGAGCAGGGAGAAUGUGGGGGGGCGGGGGCGGCCCAGUGAGGCUAGGGCAAAGCUAGGGUUUAGUUAGGUGACUCCAAACCUAGAGAAGACUAUAUACUAGGUGCACACUUGCAAGAAAAUCCCCUCAAACAUCUGAAAUCAAUCCGAGUCCCUCACGGUAAGCGACUAAACGCCGAACGCCCUCCACGGUCAUCUCACGAGAAACGGUACAUAAAUGUCGGACUUUUGCGAAAAUACUCGUUUUGCCACUAUCGACCUCUCCUCGAUCAACGCGCGAGCUCCGCAGAUCGCGGUUCGUCAGAUUUGGGAACGGAUCACACCAGUGAGAUCAGGCACGGACGGAGAUAAAAAGCUAACGAUUUCGUUCGUCUGAUCGACCACGGAUUCACGACAAAAUCAACCUUUCAUCCAACCGAAGAAUCGCAACAUAAAUACCAUAUAAAUAUGUAUUUUGAUUUAUCUCGAAAUUCCGUGCGUCACAACUCAAGAAUCCGUCACUGCCACUGUUCCAGACAGCUGAACGGUUCGAACGAGCUUAUUGACGAGAUAUGAACGAGAGUCGAUACAACACCGAAGCCGAACUCUAUCUACUCCGUGGCUUCUCCGGAAAACCGGAGUUCUAUUCACAGUUAAGAUGAAAAGAAAUAAAUCGCGUAUUUCUCUCGAUUUUAGCUCAUUUUCUGCCGAAUAUGUACGAGUGCUUAUGUAUAUUAAAUACAACAUAAACAUAUCAAACAGAGAAGUUUAGUUGCACACUGUCAAAAAUCUCAGUCCUGUACAUCAUCCCGACCUAAAGAAGUUUCGUCCCGCAAAACUAUGACACUGUACCCAACCUUAAACAAACUCAGGCAUGCUCCCACCAAAUGCGGUUAAUGCUUGAUACUGGUGCAAUCCACAAUUCUAGAACUUUGGACAAAAUCAACUCUGAAAAAGGAAGAAUAGACUGCGGUUUCCACAAGAACAAGACGGGAAACGUACAAUCAAAGUCUGCGACGAUAACACAAUCCGUGAUCAACACCAUGCUGUAACCUUAGGUCCAAAAAGCCUCAAGCGAAUCGACCACGUCGCUAAGUUCACGUGAAAGAAUCACGACCACCACUCACAAACUGGAGUCAAUUACCCAAAAAUAAGACCGAGCAAAAUUAUUCGCCGAUAGCCAACAAAUUCAACCUGCGCUCACCGGGGAGUCCAAAACGAAACGUUCUCCUAAAAACUCGAGUUCGGUAGAAACACCUCCUGAAGACUAAGCUCCGCAUAACCGAAUUUUAAAUAUAUUUCACAACAACUGGCCGAAGUCAAGUCUCCAUGCCCCGGAAAGCGCCUUUGAAUUCGACAGUCAUAGGUCCACAACCUACCUCUUCACCUGACCAAAAAGGUCGAAGAGACAAAAAUUAUUUGAGUCUCGACAAUAUCGCUUGCUCAAUUAAACUGGAUUCGUCUAAAUACGUCCCCACAUGCAAGUCGCACCAACUUGGUGCCGAAGAUUGCCAAUCGCACUAUACGAUACACGCAUCGUGAUGCUCACAACACACGUGUCUCUACGAGACCUGUCGCUGCAGGGCCUACAAGGGACCUAGCGAUCGGUGUUUGAGCAACAACAGAAAACUGUCUCAUUGCGACGCCUGCCACCUGUCCACCAUUACCGACAAGCACACGCUUUCCAAGGUGCCGACAAACGCGAGUCACAACCCUUACAAGAUAUCCCCUACGGUGACAAUCAAAGCCCUCACCAGGCUUCAAGUCAACUCAACCCCAAUUCUGGACCUCAGACAACAGACCGAUAACUACUAACGCAAACCAUUUUAGGCUAAUGGGCAGCAUACACUAAAGAUGCUAAGAAACAGACUCAAAUGCAGAGUCAAACCACCUGCAGUGACUAAUAAAAACUGCGCAAACCUGCCUAGAAAAAUCGCAGGCCGACUAGUGCAAAGAUGACCGACACCAACCCAAUUCUCAACAGACUACUUAUAGAGAAAGAAAUACCGACCCAAUCAUGAAGUCCCCAAACAGGGAGGGAUAUUUUCGUUUAUCUUUCGCAGCCCAUUGUCUGCACGCCAUGUACUUAUCAAAGAAGAAGCUGAAAUAUCAAAGAUCCACCACACUAACGAAGUGGGAGCGUGAACGAUGAAAAUAUCAAACCACUUUAUAUUUCAUACCUGAACAAACCUCCCGACCAAAACCGUCGAAUCAUCGAACCAACAAACCGACGUCAGAGAACAAUGAUCGAGCUUAGAACCGACUCACAGGGAGUCCCAUAACUUCAACAUCCGAAGCUGACUAGGCGAACUAAGCGCAGAACCCGCUACAAACGGAGGUCUUAGGAACCGAUUUUCCAACCGAUUCCGUACUAAAACGAGCUAUAUAAUCAAAGCUCGAUAAUUCCGACCAUAACCUGGAGUGUCUCGAAUCAAGACGAAAUCUAUCACCAACUACAAACUAACCCAUAACACCCAAUUAGGUGUUAGGAAACCGAUACCAUGUAUGCAUCACGACAGACCUGACGUCACAAUUGUAUCAAUCCACUCUAAUCAUAUGUCAAUUGACGGAAGAACGAGAUAAAGAGUCAAAAGAUUCCAACCGCUGAUUUCAUCGGCAAUCAAGGAAAGAGGUAGACUCACACCGCUACCAAAGAUCUGAAAGAAAACACAAAACAACAGUCGUCUAAACGACCGCUAACCAAACCUUGGGCUACGCCUAGUAGCCCCGGAAGUCGGACACUUAACAGAUCUCAAUGCCGUCUCCGUAAAGAACGCAGUAGCCCUCGUGUCCUAAGUAGGAAGAGUGGCCCGGCCAUCGCAAUAGAAUAAUUGCCUAUGCUCGAAAAUCUCACCCUGGCCUUGAGGCCCCCACCUGACAGAGUGGCACCACCUGGGGAACGUCGCCGCCACUGCAUGUCCGAAAAGUACACCGCCACUACUCCGCGACUUAGACACUUAGCCUGUGCGAAAACCGAAGUACGAAUAAGAAGUAACCCUGCACCUCGAGUUUACCAAAUCGAAUACACACCGGCACAAGCCAAACCGCCGCACUCACGUGCCUAUAUACCGUAGGUCUUCUAUCUAAAGGUCAACCUAACCAAUGGUUCAUUUUCAUUUACUUUUCAACAAACUGUGUAAUGUGUUGUGGUUGUAACUUUGCUCUGAUACCACUUUAAUCUGUCACGCUCCGGGGCUCCUUUUAGUUGGAAACACGCGAAAAGCGUCCAAAUUAGACUCGUUCGAAUUAGGCUCGAAAAGCUCGAAACAGCUCGAAUAUAUAUAUAUUAUAUAUAUAUAUAUAUAUAUAUAAAUAUAUAUAUAAUAUAUAUUAUUAUAUAUAUAUUAUAUAUAUAUAUAUAAAAUGUAUUUUAAUUAUAUAUAGACUUUAAUUUAUUUGGCUUGGCCAUAAAAAACCAAUAAGUAACACGUGCAAUGAGCCCAAUCUAAUUUAAUUACACAUCUCUCUUUCAAACUUUUACUGUUGCACAUAACCCUAAAACUUAAUAACAUUUUAAAUUUUGAAACUCCUAUUCCCCCCCCCCUCUCCCCUCUCUCUCUCCUCUCUCUCUCUCUCUCUCUCGUUCUUAGACCCUCACCCAGCAGGCAGUCCCCUAAUUCACAUUUCUUACAAUUAUUUGUAUUUUGAACUAUUGGACAUGUUGCAUCAAAUUGUAAGUAAUGUUCUAUAAAAAUUAAACUAUUGAUUAUAUAAUGUCAGAAAUUUCACAAUCUGUCUCAUUUAGAGGCCGAGCCGCUCGACUCGAAAUUAGGCUCGCUCGAGCUCGGCUCGAAUUAAUUUCAAGCCGAGCUUGAGCCUAGAUUUAGGCUCGAAAUUAAUUUCAAGUCGAAUUUGAGCCGACAAAAGCUCGCUCGAGCUCGGCUCGUUUCCACCCCUAGUCCAAAUUCGAAGCAAAUAGAUUAUUUUUGUUUUGUAGUCAAAAUCUCGUGCUGCGUCAUUUUUUGAAGCACGUGUAGCCCAAUGCUCAAGGAGCGCUGACUCCCUAAUCGCAGUACAUUUAUUAGGACAUUAAAUAAAUAUUGAUUAGUACUCAAGGUUCUAAGCUUUGGAGUUGCUAAAAAAUCAAAGAUCCAGACCCUUUAAAAUUGCUUUUAUAAACUCAUAACCAAGACUAUAUAUGAUACAAACUGUACUUCACGAAGGAUUAAAUCAGUACAGCUAGAUUAUGCUUCGUAAAUACAUUAACUUUAGCUUCGGGAUUAUAAUACUCAGACUUUCGAGUUCCAAACAGUAUUUUAUAAAUCAUAUCUACUAACAAUUCAAAAAUAUUAUGGACCCUUACUAAAGCAAGUGGCAAAGGACUUUACCCGAGACCCAAGUUCGAAUCCUAGUUGAUUCACAUUUCUAGCUAAUUUUAUUUCUAAAUGAAAUAAACGAAGCGGGUAGCGUGCUACCUAUUUUAAAGAAAAAAAAAAAAACUCAAAAAUAUUCCAAGUUUAAGUGUCACUCACUGAUUGAACCAGUAAUGCCAACAUGAUAUUAUAAAUAUUUAAUUAUUAUUUUUAAUUUUAUUAUAUAUAUAUUAUUUUUGUAACAUUUUUUUUAUAAGAUACUGAUUUUUAAACCAAAUUAAAUAUAUAUAAGUUUCUAAGUUUUACUUUUUAUAAAACUAAUAUGUAUUAAUAGAAAAUAAAAUCAGCUAAGUGAUUUAAAAUUGUUGGAUUUUAAUAUGACUUGAUCAAAAUAAUCAGGUCAAUUUGAUUAAACCGGACUGAUCGAUUAAUUGGUUUGGUGAUUGAACUGCAAAUUCGAAUGGUUCAAAAUUAUUUUUUAGCUUAUCCGGUUGAAAUGGUUGAAUUGAACUAUUUUAUAGAUUGGAUCACGAUUGGAUUGGUCGAACUGACUAGAUCAACUCGAUUUUUAAAUCAUUACCCCCAAAUGUGUAAUUAACAUUAUGCUUAUAAAUAAAGUUUAUAUUAUUUCAAAAAACUUGUACUGCAAGUGUAUAUACUUGGUGGAAAGGCAUUAUUCACAAAUUGAUAGUUGUGAUAUUUGAAAACUCAGCAAUGAAAUCCAACUAUUAAAAUUUAGAUUUUACUAUUUAUCAUAAAAUUUAUAAAUAAGUACAGUGAGGGGCAGAGCUAUGUGAAGACUCAGAGGGGCCAUGGCCCCCCGACUUUCAUAAUUGCAUAAUAGUCCCUUAUAUCUACAAAUUUUUAAAGCUAUAUUUUUAACAAAUCUCAAAAGUAUAUCGACUAAGCUAUCUUUUAAAAGAAAAUUUGGAGCUAGCAUAGUGCUCUCUCAACUAUAAUUUUUUUUUUGUUUAGUACCUUCAAAUAUUCUAAUUAUUUUAGAUAAUCCUUUUAUUUAAUUAAAUUAAGAAUUAUAUUAAAUUUAAUAGCCCUGUCAGCUAAUAGUCUUGUAUUUACUAAAAAUUAAGAAAUUAGAUCAUUAACUAAAUUACUAUUAGAUUUAGUAAAUUUUAAAAUUAUUUGAGUGAAAUAAUAUAAAUAAAACAAUUAAAAUUUAGGUAUAAACAGAAAAGGGGUAAUAUUUUUUUUACACUAAUUAUUUAGCCAAUCAAUUUACUCAUCAAAAAUUUGAUUAGAUAAAUCUUAUUUAUUAGCUAAAGUUUUGAUUUGUAUGUAUUUUGGCCUCCCUUAAACUCGAAUUCUAGCUUCAUCUCUGAGUAUAGUAUAUUUUUUUUCAAAAUUUCCAAAUAUUUAUGCAUCUUUUUUGCGUUUUAAUUUUCAAGUACAGGGUCAACACUUGGCACUUUUAUUAUACAAACUAAUCCCAUGAGACACUUCUAUUAUGUGUAUUAAUCCCAUGUGCAAUGAAUUUGUAAUUAAUCUUAGAUAACGAGUACUAUAUGACCUUAUCUGGCCGCUUACAUUUCUUUUUUUUUUUAAUUUUCAGAUAUCUACAUUUCUUUUAUUAGUAAAUGCACCGUCACUUAAUCUUUUGAUUCUUGACCAUUGUAUAGAUAAUUUGUUUGUGGGCACCUCUUUUAGAGUAAUUCUUUUAUUUAAUGUAAGAGUAAAGAGUUUAAUUAAAAAAUAAUAUGAUAAUUUUAUGAAAAUAUUAUGGUAAUUUGGUUCUGGGCACCUCUUUUAUCUGAAUAUUGUUGUUAUAAUAUAUAAAUUUAUAAUAACCAUGAGAAAAACCCACUUUCUCCUUGUUAAGGUACAGGACGCGAUUCAUCUUAAAAAAAAAAAAAAAGAAAAAGAAAAAAAGAAGCUGCAAUAUGAUUGCUUGUUCUCACUCUCAAACACUGGUUAAUAACGGUAAUACGAAGGACUAUGUAUUCAAUUUUUCUUUAAGUUGGAAAACAUGAAAUGUGUGGGAUUAUUAAAUUUGUAAUUUUAAUGGUCGGUGCUGUACAUUUGCUUGUUUAAUGGUAGAGAAGAGUUCAAAUUAAUUAGAUUUUUAUUAAAAAAAAUUUAUAACUAUUUGAAACAAAAGCUAAGCUCUAGAUCUUAUAUACGAAAAAUGUAUCUUAACUUUUUUUUGAAGGAUAUUCAUUUUCAAAUAUGUCAUUUCAUGUUCUUAUUUUAUUUUCACUUGAUGUAUAAGAGAAUAAUAUCAGAAAAGUAUAAAAUUUGAUUUUUAAAUAUUUAAAUAGUUUAGAUCAUAUUCAAUAGUGUCGAUUUACUACAACAAAAACGGUCUAUAGCGACACUUUUAAAUGUCGGUACAGAUCAAAAAAAGUGUUGCUGGCUAAAUUACCGACACUUUUAAAAAGUGUUACUAUAUGUGGGGUCGCUAGGUAUAUAGUAAUAGUUAAAGAGUGUCGCUAUAACUUAAAAAGAGUGCUGCUAAUUUACCAACACUUAUUUAAGCAUUUAGCAAUCGCCGGAAUUCUAUCUCGUUGGUUGCGGUGGCGGAGGAGGACGAGAGGAAGAGAUUUUCGUUUAGAAUUUUAGUCGAUUGAGUGAGGGGAGAAGGGGAAAUGGUAAUCGAUUUUUCUUUUCUUUUUCUUUUCUUUUUCUUUUCUGUUUGUAAUCAGGUUGAUGGGCUGGGUGAGAUGGGUUGAGUAGAGUAACUUUUUUUUUUGAUUGGAUUGGACUUUAUAUUUAGGCAUUAGUAAUUUUUUUUUUAAAAUUUUGGUAUAAAUGGGACGCUUACACAAAAGUGUCCUAAACAUAUAUUCUUAUAACCUAAUUCUGUUGUAGUGAUUGUCAAUUCGAAAGUUUUAUUAUUAAAAAAAAUCGAUAGUAUACCGAUCGAGCCGUCUACUAUCGGUUGUAAUAUUUUAGUAAAGCUCUUUUCUUUACGCAUAUUAUGCAUUGGUUUUGUGAGAUAGCUUGAUGUCCAAUCUCAACUACGUUUGCAAUCAAUACAUCUGCCCACUUUAUACACAUUCAAUCACAUAAAAUUUCUCUAUAUAAGAUUUUAAGAAGACAAAAAAUGCGAGCAGUACCUUAGUUUAUUUAUUUUUAUUUUUUUUUUCUGUUUUUCUAGUGUAUUUGAUUUUGUUUUCAAUAUUAGAGUGCAUGUAAUAUGUUGGUUGUUUUAUUCAAUCACACAAAAUUUCCCAGUUGAAUGUCAAACAUAGAUAUAAGUCAUAGAGGAUACUGCAGAAUCAGGCUUACAGCUUCCACAUUUUCUUCUUUAUACUCCCUUUCCUCCUUUUGACAUUUAGCCAUGAUGCAUGUUGUAAAGUUUAAUAUUUAAACUACGUAAUUCGUGGAUCUGUGGGGAUACGUUCCUCUCCCUCUCUCUCUCUCUCUCUCUCUUUCUAUAUAUAUAUAUACACUCUUGGCCGAAACGAGUCAAUUAGGCGCCCUAAGCAGAGUUGGAUCCUCUUCAAAUCACAAUUAGAAAACACCACAAGCUCGCAAUGCACCACCGUACGGAGCAACGCAAAUUCUCCAAUUUUGUCACCAAGUUCCUUGUCCUCUGUUUUGCCUUUGCCCUCGGCGUUGUCUCUAGCACAUUCUUUAGAGCCUUUUCGGGCUCCUCCCCAACAAUCCAGCUCUCAUUUCUAUCACUAAACUCUCUGCCGCCGCCGCCGCCGCCGCCGUCGUUGGUGCUGCUAUCACCGCCUCCUCCUCUUCCGCCGCCGCCGCCGAAUGACGACGAGCAUGUGGGACUAAAACGAUACGUUGCAGCCACAAAUGCCAUGCAUGACAUGACCGAAGAGGAGUUGCUUUGGAGGGCAUCGAUGGUUCCGAAGAUCGCCAACAAGCCGUUCCACCAGGUGCCGAAGAUUGCGUUUCUGUACCUUACGAGGGGCGAUCUUCCGUUGGCUCCGUUGUGGGAAAAAUUCUUCGAGGGUCACGAGGGCUUCUACUCUAUCUACAUCCACCCUGAUCCUUCCUACAAGGGCUCGCUAUCCGAGGGCUCUGUUUUCUACGGUCGAAGAAUUCCGAGCAAGGUGAAUUUAUUACUUGUUCCAUUGUAUUUUUUGGUGCAAACUAGCUAGCUAAUGUCCCGCUCAAAACAAUCAUGAUAUAUAUAUAUAUAUAGAACUAUGCUACUAUACUAUCAAUAGCACCAAGCCCUUGGUACUAUUGAGUUUUCGGCCGUUGGAUGAAAAGAUGAGUGAGUUGGGAUCCCCUGGUGAUAGUUGGUCCCGUGGGUUGAGUGGGUGGCGUUGUUUUAAUAGUAUUAUCUAACGGGUGGAAAUGGAUAAAAGGGUUUAAUCUGACGGUUAGAAAACUCGAAUAGUAAUCAGAUGGCUGUACUAUCGAUAGUAUAAGUAGCUCGGACCUAAUAUAUAUAUAUAUAUAUAUAUAUAUAUAUAUAUAUAUAUAUAUGAUUCUUUCAACAAAAUUACCCAUAUAUUCAAAAAGAAGGGCGAGUUCGAAAAACUCCUGGCUUUGAGGAAAUUUGAACAUAUUUACUUUUUAUGCAGGAAGUGAGAUGGGGGCAAAGAAACAUUGUCGAAGGUGAGCGACGGCUUAUAGCGAAUGCGCUGCUGGAUUUCUCGAACCAGCGCUUUGUCCUCCUCUCCGAAUCGUGCAUCCCUCUCUACAACUUCUCCACAAUAUACUCUCACCUCAUAAACUCAAGCACGAGCUACGUCGACUUCUUUGAUGACCCCGGCCCGGGCUGCCGUGGCCGAUACAACCCAAAAAUGGCCCCUCAAAUAAGAGCCGAGCAGUGGAGAAAGGGCUCCCAAUGGUUCGAGAUCGACCGCAGCGUCGCGCUCGAGAUAGUCUCCGACGAGAAGUACUUCCCACUCUUUCAGAAAUACUGCAUAGUUACGUGGUCGCCGCCAUGCAUAAUGGAUGAGCACUACAUACCUACAUUCCUCAGUGUGAAGUCAUGGAGGAGCAAUGCAAAUAGGAGCAUAACUUACACUGACUGGUCGAGGGGACAGCCGCAUCCAGCAAGUUUCGGCGGUGGAGAGGUUUCUGAGGAGCUAUUUGAGAAGAUAAGAUACGGGACUAAUUGCACUGAUGAUGGUGAAAAAGCAAGAGUUUGCUUCCUCUUUGCUAGGAAGUUCCUGCCCAACUCAUUGGAUCAAUUAUUGAAACUUGCUCCAAAAGUAUUAGGCUUUGGCUGAUUUUUCCGACAAACAAUUAAUAGGUUAAAUGUAUGGAAAUUAAUCCCCUCAACUACACGUUAUAUAUUUUGUAAAAGCUAGUUUCCUAGACUUCUUUUCUAUGAUUAAUAGCUCCUUUAACUUUUCUAUAUUUAGAUAGACCAUUUGAGUCGUGUGAAUUGAAAAUUCUGAUAAAGUUAACGACGUAAGAAAAGAAAUGUAAUAUUUUAAAAAACAAAUGAGAAAAUUUGAAAUUACAUAGCGAUAAUAGAUUGCACACGUUCCUCAAAUGUGCUGGAGGUCUUUGAUUAGUUACGUUAUUUAACAUUCAGUCCACCUCCGAUUAAGUUGGUCAAAAAAAAAUAAAUAACUCUCACAAAAAAGUUUCAAUUCAUUCGUCAAGAAUCAAAAUACAAAAGGAAAAUCUCGUCAAUCCACUUUUCCCUCUUCUCUCUUAUUAAAAUAAGCAUGCUCGAUAAACUAGUCAUCGAAAGAUUUCUUGAUGAAAUAUAGGCCACAGAUCAAAAUUUAUUAUUGGAUGUUUGAAGAAAACAUCUAGUUAUAGCGGGUUGUCGAAGGAAAACCAAAAAUAAAUAUUGGAUUUUGGGAGUCCAAAGAAAGAUCCCAAUAAUCUGAUAAUUGGGCGUCUAAAGAAAGCACCCGAUUUUUCAAUGAUCGGGCGUCUGAAGAAAGCAUCAAGCGACUUAGGGCAUGUUUGGUUCAAAAGAGAAAUUGAAAGAGGAAUAAAAGUAGAAAUGGAUUAGAAUACAAAACAGAAUAAUAAAAACAACAAUUUCUUUGGUUCAUAAGAGAAAUCAGAAUCGGAAUCAUGUCCAACUUGAAAUCCCAGAAAAUUAACUUUUUAUUAAAAUUUGAACGUAGCCUAAUGCUCAAGGAGCGGUGACCCACUAAUCUCAGCACAUUUAAGGACAUUAAAUAAAUAUUGAUUAGGACUCAAGCUUCCAAACUUUAAAGUUGCUCAAAAAUCCAAAAGAUCGAGACCCUUUAAAAUUGAUUUUAUAAUUCAUAACGAAGACUAUGAAAUUAACAAACUGUACUUCACUAAGGAUUAAAUAAGUACAGCUAGAUUAUGCUUCAUAAAUACGUUUUGUUUGGGGAUUUUACUCAAACUUUUGAGUUCCAAACAUUGUUUUAUAAAUCGGAUCGAAUAGCGACUCGAAAAUAUUAUAGAUUCAAAGAACACCCACUGGUUGGACAAAUAAUGGCAGCAUAACAUCAUAAAUAUUUAGUUAUUAUUUUUAAUUUUAUUGUAUGCAUAUUAUUUUAUUAUCAUACUUAAUUAUAAAAUAUUGAUUUCAAAAAUAAAUUAUAAAAUAUCGAUUUUAACUUUUACUUUUGUAAGACUAAUAUAUACUAAUAGAAAAUAAAAUCAGCUAAGUUGAUUUAAAAUCGUUGGAUUUUAAUAUGACUUGAUCAAAAUAAUCCGGUCAAUUUGGUUAAACUGGAUUGAUUCAUUGGUUUGGUGAUUGAACUGCCGAUUUGAAUCCAGUUCAAAUGGUUGAAUCGAACUAUUUUAUAUAUUAGGUCACGGUCGGAUUGGUCGAACUGGUUGGAUCUGACUAGGGCAGGCAAAUAGGCGAGUAGGCUUGUGUUUGACUCGCAUUCGGCUCGGUAAGCUCGAAAUAUAUAUAUAUAUAGAAUUAGUCUACUAUACUAUUAUAAUAGCACCAACCACUUGCUAUUAUGUUUUCGGCCCUUGGAUGACGGGAUGUGCGGUUAGGAUGAUAGUGAUCCCCUAGAAUUGAGUGGGUGGUUAGUUGAAUAGUAUAAUCUAAUGGGUAAAAAUGGUCAAAGGGGUAGAUCUAACGGCACAAAAUUUGAUAGCGCCAAGCAUUUGGUAUUAUCGAUAAUAUAGUAACCAUACUCUCUUUCUCUCUCUCUCUCUAUAUAUGUAGUCUAGCUACUAUACUAUUUAUACUAUAGAUAGUACCAAGCGUUUGUGCUAUUGAAUUUUUUGUCGUUAAAUCUACAAAUAUAUAUAGAGAGAGUCUGACUAUUUUACUAUCAAUAGUACCAAGCAUUUGGUACUAUCGAGUUUUCAGCCGUUAGAUCUACCCCUUUGGUUAUUUUCAUCUGUUAGAUCAUAAUAUUCAACUAACCACCUACUCAGCCCUAGAGGGCUACUAUCAUCCUGUCGGUACAUCCCUUCAUCCAUGGGUCGAAAACAUAAUAGCAAGUGGUUGAUACUAUUAAUAGUAUAGUAGUCUAAUUCUAUAUGUAUAUGUAUAUGUAUAUGUAUAUGUAGGCUGGGGCUACUAUACUCAUAUGAGUAUAGAGCCCUUUGUACUCAUAAGUUUUCGGCCGUUUGGAUGAAAAAAUGUGCGGUUAGGAUGAGAGUGGUUACGGUUAAGUUGAUAGUGGGUCCUAUAGGGUUGAGUGGGUGGUUGGUUGAAUAGUAUAAUCUAAUGGAUGAAAAUGAUUAAAUGGUAGAUCUAACGGCAAAGAACUUAUGAGUACAAGAGGCUCUACACUCAUAAGAGUAUAGUAGGCGGACUCUAUAUAUGUAUAUGUAUAUGUGUAUAUAUAUAGAGUUGAGCUAGAAUACUCUCAAAAGCACUAAUGGGGUGGUGCUUUUGAGUUUUUAGCCAUUGGAUGGAGAGAUGUGAGGUUGGGAUCGAUGAUGGUGGUAGGUGGUGGUAGGUGGUGGUAGGUGGAAUAAUGUUUGAUCCAAAGGCUAUUAGUAACAACAACUUUAUAAGAUAUCCUUCAUUCCGAGGAUUCUCAAUCAUCCCAAGAUAUCCGCCAUGUCACGCCCCGAGCCCCACCUAUUUGGUCGGGUUCGGGCGCGCCGACAGACCGCCGAAUGGACAGAGUUUCCCCUGUACGUCCAAGGCGUCGCAAUCGAUACAAUACAAGUGAUUCCAAAUAGGAACAGUAUUCAUACAACAAUUGCAUAAGGAAGUAUCAAAAACAUAACACAUCCUAUGUUAUUACAACCAUUCACAUUUCAUGCAUUUUUACAUUCCAAAUCCUUUUUACAUUAAACCUCCAAAUGCAAUUGAGUUACUACAUCAUUUAUUUACAAGUUUGAAUACAUCUUGAUCUUUUCAUUUCCCUCACUACAACAUAAUAGGGGUAUAGGGACACAUUUUUGGGACACUUUUGUCCAAGUGUCCCAUUAUGUACCAUUAUGUCCAAAAUUCGUGAGAAGAAAAAAAAAAUCUACCAAAGCCUAAUCCAUAAAUAAAAAAAUAUUUUUUUAAAAGUGUUUCAUUCUCAUCAAAAAUUUGUUAGGCCCAAAAGAAGGCCCUUCCUAUCACACAUCACAACCUUUGAGCCCAAAGCCACAGAACUUUUUAAAAAACCCAACCACACCUAAUGAGAAAAAAGGGAUAAAAAAAAUAAAAAACCCCACUUCAUAGAAGAAAAAAAAAAAGAAAAAAAAGAAAGGAAACCCAUUAAACCCACCGUGCUCCUCUCAGAUCCUCCUCCCCGCGUCGUCUCCUCCGCCGCACCUCCCUCGCGAUCUCCAUGGCGAGCUCUCGCCACUACCUCACUCCGUCUCCUAUGGCGAUUUCUCUCAUCUCAUGUCAACAUCUCGGCGUAGUAGCUCGAUUAGCAUCUCCAUCGCCGCAACGCCAUCCUCAUCACCUCCGCUCUCCUCCUCUGCUGGCUCCUCUUCUGGCCGUCUCCUCGUCAUCAACUUUGGAGAAGCUCGAGAACUCGGAGAUAGUGCACAAUCGGCUCCCGAUCUCAAUCUAGGGUUUUUAUUCUUGAAAUCUUACAGUGGAAGAGAACGUAAUUUGGUAUGCAAUUAUAUUUUUCAAAUUAAGAUCCUUAUUCAUAUCAUUUUGUUCUUGCAUUUGGAUGAAAAUUUGAUAGAUUCCUUCUUCAUAGGCCAUUGUCUUCUACUUUCUCGAGUAGUUUAAAUAGGCACUUCGUUAGUAAAAUUAAUUGAUAGCUCCGUUACCCACUUUGUUCAGAUGUUAUUCUAAUGCCAUGUGAUGAAUGGUUGGCUUUUCCUAUUUUCCUUUCCCCUGUCAUGAGUAGCUCAUGUACAGGUUACAGUGUGAAGCAUGUUAUUCUAAUGCUAAUUAAGAAAGCAAUUCUAAUUUAAUUCCUUCUGAUUCUGAUCCCUAAUUUCUACCAACUUUAGUAUUCUGUUAUCAAAUCUAGUUGUACUUUACAAGCUAUCAUUAAUAAUCAUUUAAGUACUGAACCAUUGAUCAACAGAUUAUUCUACAAUCUGCAUUUUCCUUUCUAAUAGUUCAUAAUGUUGUUAGUGGCCUUAGUUAUCUCAUGCACUACCAUAAGACUCAUGAUUGCAUUAGGCACCCUAAUGUGUAAAAUACUCUUGCAUUAAGACAACAUAAUUAUAAUGAAUAUGCUUUGGCCUUAGUUAUCUCAUGCACUACCUUUGGCCUCUCUCACAAGUCACCACUUACUACUACUCAUUUAACAUAUUAUUUUAGCAAAUCCCUUCUUUCAAGGAUCUUAAGUCCUAUCCUGCACCUCCUUUUUCUCAUUGUAAAAGUGCUUUCCUCGAAAGCUAAGAGCACUGCUAAUGGGAUUUGAGAUGGCUUUUCCCAUCUUGAUUAGAGCUUUUCCUAGGCUAUGAUUGUGAGGGUUCUCUUUUGAGUUUAUGCACAAAAGAUGGGUGGAUUCUUGUAUCUUAAUUAAUUAAUCACUUAAUAGUGAGUACACAUAAUAUUCUAAGCACUUGCCAUAUUUUCUAGUUGAUCUGUUUUCUGUCCCGCCUAUCAUUUGUUAUUCAUGCAUCUCAUUUGGUAAGUACAUUAAUGGCUUCUUGAUAUGAUAAAACUGAAGUUAUGCCUCUCUAUAAUUUAUUUGAAUCUUGUCAAAUAGCAAAGCAUGUUAUCUGGAAAAUAAGAGAUCAUAGUAGAAUGAGCUCUCUAUCUAGACAUAUUAUAAGACCCCCAAAAUUGCAUGUGUUAAUUCUAACAUGUAUUUAAGAAAUUUAGUCUAUUUAAGAAAUUAGGCCCUAUGGAGAUCAACAAUAAGAGAUCAGAUUAUUAUAUAAUUCCUUCAUUAUUAGAUUAUUAUGUUGGUAUUAAUCGCUAUUAACAAUAAUGUUGAUUACGACUUAACGUAGACGCAUUAUGCAUGUCUUAGUAACAUUUCAGGAUCCUUGCAAUCUUUUUUAGAAUCCAAUGAUUUAGUAAUUACGCUCGCUUUAAUUAAUAAAGCCGUGGUUAGAUACCGAUGACUAUGAUCACUUUGACAUGUACAUUGAAUUAGAGGGUCAGUUAUCAUCAUUUAAUUUGGAUAAGUAAUAUCUGGGCAAUAGUAACAACCAUUAGCAUGGUAUUACUAAACUGGUUGUAUGACAUUUGAAUGCAAUUGACCUUUGGAUUCCUAAUUAGUAGUUUCUGUCACAAGCUUGAACUUUUUGCUUUUAAGAAUUUCAUUGAGGUGUUAUUCCUUUCUCCUUUCGGUGGUUGUCACAAUCCAAUUAUUAAGCCUCUUUUUAUUUCUCAUUUUUUUCUUUAUUCUUCACUUUAUUCUUUUCUUUAAUCUUAAUUGAUUAAAGAAAAGAACAAUUUAAUUUUGUUCUUUUUUUUAAUUUGUUACUCUGAUCAAUUUAAUUUAUUAUUAUUUUUUGGGACACUUUUGUGUAAGUGUCCUAUCUAUGUCCAAAGCCUCUUUAAGAAAAAAAAAAUCUAUAGAUGUAUGAACAGCAAACAUCUAUAAUUGAUGGAAGCAGAGUUGAAAGAAAACGCAUUUCUUUCAACUUUGCUUCCAUCAAUUUGUUUCAUUCUUCAAGCAACGUCAUUUCACUUAUUAAUUCAGAAAUUUUAUUCUGUUCAAAGGCGUAAGAAGUAAAACAUUCUUCAUCUUUUCCUGAACCAAGAUUCCUGUAGAGAAAACAAUCAUUCAUAGGAUAAGGUAUUGGUGUUUAGAAAUCAAAUUAGCUUCCACUUCAAGGCCUUUGAAGAUCUUUGCUAUCUACUAGUAAAUGACUAUAUUUUUAACUAGAGAACCUAAAAAUUCCUCAACUAGUUUAUCAUGCUUACUCUGCCACUUCAUCUUAAAUCCAAUUCAUAUAACUUAGUUGGGGGAAAUUGCACUAUCUGGUUACUGAACUGGUGGUGAAAUUUUGUUUAUAUUAUUAGACUUUGAUCUGUUGCAAUUGAGUCAUUGGACUCCAAAUUUCAUUUAAUUUGGUCACUCCAUCAAACUCAGGUUAAUGGGUUAAUAUCUCUAGUGUGGAUUGUGGAAUAGUGCGUCGGCUGGUUCGGUUGCCGCUUUAUCUUAAAUAUAAUAAUGUUCAGCUUCAUCUUAAAUCUAGUAGUGUUUAGCCAUCAAGUUCGAUGAUUGACGGUGUAAUUUUAAUUACAUUAUUAUUACGUUGGACAUCACUGUUUGAUUGCGUUUUCUUAACAUCCGUGAUGAGUUAUCGUUCUUCCCAUCUAACUAAUUAGGGACAUAUUUUCUGGUCAUUAAACUGGUAAUUAAGUGGGCCUUAUUUGUUGGAUCUUUAUCUCUGUUCUGGAGCUGCUGUAGAGUUUAUAUCAAUAACUAGUUUCAUCUUUGCUUCUCCAUUUCUGUUACGACGUUAGCUUAUGGUGUGAGAAACGUGAGAAUUGCUACUCUCUGUUCUUAGCCAUUUCUUUCUUCGUUCCUCAAAAGUUCUUUAUUGACAAGGGGUAUAUUUGUGGAACUACAUGUUGUCUGAAUUAUUGAAUGAAUGCAGGCUGAUGAGGACGCUGCAGACGCUUCGACUCUAAUAGGAAGUAAGCUAUAUGGAUGACUCUUUUCUUUUCUGUGCUUGAGAUACCAUCAUUCUAGUUCAAUAACAAUGUUUAGCCUAACCCUGCUAUAUCGCAGUUCCUCUAAAGACGUCGCACGUGAAAUUUGUUCUUCACAAGGAAUGCCUGUUUGGUCAACGGUUUCUUCUCGUUGGCGAUGACUCGAAUAUCAGUUCUUGGGAUCCAUCAAAAGCCAUUCCUUUGGAAUGGUCUGAUGGCCAUGUGUGGACAACUGAGCUGGUAAGUUUAAGAGAUCCCAUACUCUCUACUGCUUAACAUUAUUAGUUCAAUUACUUUUUAAGUAUCUGAUCUGGUACUUUCAUUCAGGAUUUACCAAUCAAAGUGAUAGGCUGAUAUUAUUACUGUGAGAUUCUUCAAUAAUCAGUAUGAUUUUUUUUUGCUUGUCUUCAAAGUGCAUGAAGUUUGGAAUAUUGAUCUAAAAAAAUAAGGACUAAAUGAUUUCAUUAAGUAUUUAAAUGAUGAUUUUAAGCUUAAUCAUGUUGUGAAUAUACAAUAUGUAGUAAGACAUACAAACGAUGUUUUGGAUCAUUGUAAAGCUAGUAGCACAUUAAGCUUAAUUCUGUAGGCACUUCUCUACUCUUAAUUGGAUACCAGUUGGUUGCAAUGAUUGUGAUACAUCAUGGUUAUGUUACAGAUGCUUCUUCUGAAUAUAGGAUUUAUAUAUGAUGUAAAUUUUUUGAGGUUGGGGAACUUGUCGGCGAACUCUAAUGACUGAAAUGACGUGAUGCUUAUUUCUAAUAUGGUAGAUUAAUGGAGGGACUUCGUUAUUAGGUGGGAAAAACUAUACGGGUCAGUAUCCGCAUCUAAACUUUUAUUUUCUGCCAGGGAACUUUCUCACUUCAUAGCAACUGGAAAACUUCACUGCAAGAUCGACAAAGUCGCCGACAUUCUAGAAACUAACCGACCUGACGCCAGAAAUGCUUUCUACCGGGCAACUAUCAAGCAGGGCGAUUUCUUGCUCAACCGCAUCCAGAAGCUAUCAUGAGUGAUCGAUUUGUAAACAAUCUUUUGUCCCUUAAACUUAAUAUGGUGCUGAAAUUUUCUUUCACUUAAUAUGGUGCUGAAAUUUUCUUUCACUUAAUAUGGUGCUGAAAUUUUCUUUCAUCUUUUCAUACAUCUCUCUAUGAAGCUCCUUAUCCGCAAAUUCAGUUGACAUUUGUUUGGAUAGAAAUUUCUGGGUCGAUGCGUAUCGAUUUGAAUUCUUAUAUUCCUAUUUGUCAUUUUGGCUAAAAUUAGCACACAAGAUCUGAUUUCUUGCGGCAGCUUAUCUAUAUUGUUUUUUCAUGUUGGUAGUGCAGUUCAUUCGGUAGUACUUUUUACUUGAAAUUGAAUUUAUUGGCAGAUGUUUAGUGCUGGCUCGAUUAAACUAACUGAUAUUUCUGCACGUACUGACCUAAUCUAAGGCAAGGUGAGUAUUUAUUCGCAAAAUAUGUCUUAUAUUUCUUGAAAUUAAGAUGUCUUUCGCUCCUUUCAGCUCUAACUUAAUUGGUUUCAUGUUUUCUAUCUAUCUUUUAACUGAAUUGAUAUUUGAGGGUAAUCUCUUUUGUCCUUUUGAACCAUAAAAUGUAGGAUAUUUCAGGACAAUCUCUUUUGUUCUUUCGAAUCAUAAAACUUGUCCCAAAAAAGAGUUCACCAAUCUUAGAAUGUUAUCCUGGUUUCAAAGUUUUGGUGGUCAAAGUUCCUAAGUUCAUAUAUGGCGGGGGACCACAACUUCUGUUGUUUCUGAUAAAGUGAUACAAUAUUAAAUGAUACAAUGUGUCAUAGUUUUUUGGCUCUUUUGUUGUUCUCUUUUUAUUGGUGCCAUAUGCUUCAUGAGUUGUGGUAAAUUAUUAAGUGCAAUAGAUUGGGGAGCCACCAUCUUAAUUACUACUUGUAUACGAAAUGGAGAUGCAUGUAUUAAAUUGCAUUUCGAGUCUGAUAAUCUGUCACCUUUAAAAUGUCUUGCUCAUUGUUGGAUAAUGUCUUUUUUUAAGAUGAAAUGAUUAUCUAAUACUAGAAAAUUUAUUCGUUUAGGUUUCAGACGCAUCCAGCGCUCGUAAUAUGCAUCAAUAAUCUCGUUGCCCUUCAGGUAAAAAUUAAACUUAUCUUAAUUGGUUUUCAUGUUAAAAGAUUGUUGACUAAUCUUUUAUUAAUUUCAGUAUUGUUGAAUUUGUAGGUUCAACAUCUUAAUUGCCGAGCUCACUAAGACUGGAUCUGAUAUGAUAUUAUUAGUUUUUGUUUUUAUUUCUCUUUCUCUAGGGUUAAAAAGCUAGAAAUUGUUGGUACUGUGAUUUAGUGACUAAAUACUCAUUUAAAGAUAUAUGGAUAGUACUGUGAGACAUUUUGGUAUAUAUGACUACAAAACUUCUUUUAUAUGCUUUCUUUGUUAAUGCAAAUCAAGCCGAAUAAAAUUAAAGAUAUGCUUGAUGAUAAUUAUUGUGGAGUGGUAUUACAUUUUAAAAACUGUGAUGCAUCAAGAAAAAAUAGGAUAUUUUUUAAAAAAUGGGACAGUUAUAAAGUGUCGUUGAAAUUUAAAAAAAAGUGUUGCUAGAAUAUUAUUUUGCAUCACUUUUAUGUGCUGCUAAAAGCUUAAAUAAGUGUCGGUAUAUUAGUAGCACUCUUUUUAGGUUAUACCGACACUCUUAAAAAGUGUCACUAUAUACCUAGUGACGCCACAUAUAGCAACACUUUUUAAAAGUGUCGGUAAUUUAACCAGCAGCACUUUUUCUGACCUGUACCAACACUUAAAAGUGUCGUUAUAUACCAUUUUUGUUGUAGUGCCUCUACCCCUAGGCUAUGCCGACUCGGGGUACCGCUAUCUCUGAUGUCUGGGGUAGGGCGCUAUCUACGGAGCUAUGCUCUUGCCUCGCGCCGUCGCGCCGCUCACGUGCGAACCUGAAACACCCCAAAGCAACGUGGGGUGAGAACCAACUCCAUGGUUCCCAGUGGGUACGGCCACCCAAAGGAAAAGCUCGACCAACAGGUCCGAAGGAGGCAAACUGCAGGUUAGAUAAGAAAACAGAUAGAUACGAUAUCUAGAUUAUGCAGCUAACAAUACCAUACUUUGCCUCACUCAUGCAACAAUGUCAUGCAACAAUGCAAGUAAUGCAAAAACUAGUAUAUCACCCGAUACUACUUUCUAUCUCAUCAUCUAGUUCACAUCAAACUACUCUCUAAGGUUUCUAUUACCCUAGAUCCAUUUCAUCUAUCACUAGCCUUUAAGGUUUCCUCUACCUUGUCCAAGCUAGCCACCCGACUCUGCCUCGAGUCAAUCAACUGCGGAGUACCGCAUUCUGUCCGGCUCGAGGUGAAGGAACCCUCACAUACACCUCGGCCUUAAAUCCACUCAACAUAUACUAUGCCUCAAUGAACAAUAAAUGAGCUACUACCUAGCAUAUGAUCUACCACAUGGUACUAGGCCUCAAUAAUCACAUGAAUGAACGAGUGACUACAUAGUGCAUUGUGCAACUAUGCCUCGAUAAUCAGAAUGAACGAGCUACUAUAUAGUAUGUCGUGCAACUAUGCCUCGAUAAUCAGAAUGAACGAGCUACUACAUAGUGCGCCGUGCAACUAUUCCUUGAUAGUAUCAAAUCUCAUGGCCAACCCGAAGGAUACUGCCCAAGGCCAACCCGAAGGUUGCUACCUCGACUCACAUCUCAAAUCUCGCUAGUGGGGAUAUACCACCCCAGACCCGUCUGCGGGACAAUUAUGUUUGCCCCAACGCGACUACUAUUCCGGAGCUCGCUGGUAAUCAAGUUACCCAUAAUGCGACUACUGCUUCGGAGCUUGCUACUUGAGUGGAGCGACCACGCCAAGGUUACACAGACUAUGUGAGUAUGAUCCAAUCCCCACGCUGGAGGAUACCCUAUCCACUAGGACCACAAUGCCUCAACUGCACUAAUGCCAAAUGCAUAAUAUCCACAACAUGACAAUCGGAAAAAAUCUACUAUCCCUAGGUUCAAAUGCCAUAGUGUUCCACUACACUAGAUUUGAUGCAAUACGCCACAACUAGGGAAACUCACCUAUUCCCUAUGCUCAAUGCUAGUGUUCUUUACACUAUAUUCAAAUGCCACUCACCUAGGCUUAAUCAACAAUAGGUUCAACACCUUUAUCACAUAACCUAGGUUUAACUAAUUCUAGGUUCAAUCCUCAAUCUAUGUUCCUCAAACUAGGUUUAAUGUCAUUCUACCUAGAUCUUGAUUCUAGGUUCACUUGUUCGACCAGGUCAAUGCCACUCGAUCUAUCCUAGGUUCACGACACUAGGUUCACAUGCCACCUAUGUUCUUUAACACAAGGUUUAAUGCCACUCGAUCUAUUCGACACCUAAUUGUCCACAUCGAGUUUCUAUAAUUAUUCACAUUAUCAACAUGCAUAUUAUACUUAGCCUCUUCUCAUUAUGCCACUAUGCACUCUUCUAGCAUGUAGAUUAACAUGUCCAUAUGCAAUAUCAUCUAGCAUGUACUUUCAAUACACAACAUGCAAUUAUCAACUAGCAUACCAUAUAUUCAUAUGCUCUAACACAUCUACAACAUCAUCAUGCAUAUUCUAUCUAUAUGCUUUAACACAUUCAUGAUGCCAUCAUGUACCUAUUCUAAUUAUGCCCACCUGCAUAUUAUACUUCAUCCAAGGUAGCUAUUACAUAGUAUCACAUGCAUUCACCCUAAGCAUUCAUCUAUGCAAUCAACUACUAUUAUGCAUAUAUAUGCAUCAACGAGAAAGCACAUUUCUCUUCGACAUGUAGGCGACCUAGUCGCUUCGGUAAACACAAGCCACCUCAAUUCGCUCUCUGAUUGCUUGUAGUCACUUGCAAUCGGCCUCCCGCGGCACUCGGCACCUGGUUUGGCCCGAUCUUGCAAUCGCCCUCCAACCGUGCGCCGAAUCGCGGCUCCGAAAAUUAUAGGUCUAUGGUUUACCGCCACGGUGCUCCAAAUCCGUUUUCAUGAUUUUUGGACGUCGCCUCGGCCCUCCAGGCGUAAACGAAGCUAAAUCGUCAGUUUCUUCAAUAUCUUUACAACGGCUCGACGAAUCGUCGAACCGACUUCGCCAACGCGUUCAUGUGCCUAGCAAUUAGGUUAACAGAGGGUCAAUUGAGAUCAAACCCUUAUAUAAACAAAAACCCUCUUUAGAACCCUAGGUUUGCUACUAUUGCAAGAAACCUCAUUUAAACUCUAGAUUCAAGCAAUUAGCAACCUAUUAGCAUCUAAGGGUUCCAACAAUACCAAUUCCAAGGUAUAAAAACCUAUCUCUAAGAAUCUACCAUAAAAGCUCCUUGAGCUUACCUCCAAAAGCUUGCUCCAAGCUUGAGAAGAAGAAGAUGAAGAUGAUGAUCCCACUCCUUUGCUUCUUCUCCACCACUUGCUCCUCCAAGAUCCACCCUUUUUGAGAGAGAGAGGGAGAGUUUUAGAGAGAGAGUGUGUGUUCUUAGGGUUGCAAGGUGUGAGGGAGAGAGCAAAUGAGCUCUCUAUAGCUCAUAUACACUCACAUAAUGCCCAAAAGUGCAAAUAAGCCCCUCAACUUUCAUUUUAGUACACAGCCCUCGCGGGGCCAAUUUUUGUAUAAGGGACUGGUCCCUUAUACAAAUAGGGACCGGUCCCCGAAGGUCCAGAAUCUCAACAUUUAGGACUUAGCCAAAUUUCCAGCUUUUUCACCGUUUAGCCAAAUUUUUAGCUUUUUCACCGUUUCUUCUCCGUUUUCGCUCAUUUUCGCUCGUUUGACCUCCGAUUCUUUUCAAAUCGAACCGAGACUCUCCAAAUAUGUUUUCGAGCGUGUUUUCAUCAUCUUUUCAUCCGCGCUAAUGCCGGAUUUAGUCCAUGGUCCAACAUAACCUUUUGAGUCCCGUUUUCGCGCCUACGCGCACCAAAUCGCCCGAAUGCUCCCGAACUUCACCAAACUUUACCGGAACCUUUCAAAUGGCUCUCCAACCAAUAUAAACCGUAACUUCAUUAUUUUAGAAGUCCAGUACCUUACAGGCCAACUAGGCCCUAAAUCCCCUCCAAUCAUUACCUGAUUUAGGUAAGGAGGUAGUCUUCGCAAACAACGAGAUUAAACCCUCAAGAUGCACCAUUUCGUGCUCAAAUUCCCAAGGCGAGUCGAUUCAGCUCGCGCGACCAAGGGUACAAAGUACCUCACAAUCACUCUACAUCAAAUAGGGCCAAUUAUUUGUUGGCACGCAAAACCCUCUCACAAGGCAGGGUGUCCGAAACGACACACCCGAUUAUCUAAUCAUCCUACAUGCAUCGAAAAAUAAUCAAUGCUACACAACUCGACAAACAGCCGAUCAAGGGAUGCAAAUGAUGCAGUCAUCACAAACUUGCUCAAAUUCAAAUAGCAUUAAAUAACAUGCUACCUACAGCAAUCAUCUCAGUCGCCACACCCAACUCCAGCAAUUCCGUGGGCAUACAUCCAUUGGGAGUCUCUCGUGUCGAGGUCGGUGCAGAUGCCUUUGCUAACACGCCAUUCCCCGGGCACUCUAAUCGAAAAUGGCCCGCCUGGCCACACGAGAAACACUUUUCUCUCCGCCGAGGACACUGUGGGGAAACAUGCGGACCUCUGUAAAUCACACAUUGUAUUGGCGGUCGACGAUGCAACGUCCUUUUCCCAGCAAAAGGAUCACGUCCUCGAAAUCGAUUCUUCUUCAAUUUCCUUGAUGAUCCACCAACAUGUAACUUGUCACUCUUGGUGGUCUUCUUUGCCACCCCAAUAACCUCCGCGCCUCUCCCCGAAGUCAAGGCGUGAUCCGAAAUCUCAUGGAAUUUCUUAAGAUCAGCCGUCUGCUGAAUCAACAGGCUCUCCAAUCGUCUGAUUCUCUCGUCCUGUCGGUGCAAAGCCUCGGCUUGAAGUAGCGUCACGCUCGACUGUCACUCCACCACGCCAACUAAAGUGGCCAACUGCUCUCUCAACUCCCGAACCUCGUUGGAUCGGGGGAAUGCAGGCUUCUCCAGCUCAGUCGCCUCGGCUGCCUUAGAGCGUGUCAUCGACAUCACAAGCUGCAACAAACAUAACAAGCAUAGGUUAGAACAACCCAUGGUAUCGCAGCCCCACUCGUAAAUGCAAAGUCCCAAUCAUGCGAAAGUAAUGAAGUGACCUCCCACUAUUCCUCAAUAUCUCGUUGUCGGCCGCCAACGUGAUCUUGCAAGGACAUAGAUGUUAUUCACUUCGAUCCAACUCCAACACCUUUGGAGUUUUAAAUAUGACCGAAUCAUUCUUUCGCCCACAAAUGGUCCCAAAAGACCCUGUCUCUCACAUUCCUAUCCCUUAUCGUCCAACCGGCCUAAGGUUUGCUUUGUCUCCUAAGACUGAACCCUAGGCUCUGAUACCAUAAUAAUCUGUCACGCUCCGGGCCGAGCGGAAGCCCGCCGGCACGUGCACAGACCCGCCGUGUACACCAAACAACCACAAUGCACACAAGGCGUCUACUAAAACAGGAAAUGAACACAGAAAAGUCCUAACAGGACUAUCAGAACGAGUAAUAUAAAAUCACUACUGUUCUAACACAAGGAGAUCUACAAGAUAUACAAAAUGUAUACAACUAAAUCCGAAGGUCUCACAAUAUCUCUAAAACAAUUACAUAAUACAUCUUUCCACAAGAUGCAAAAAGAAAGAUGAUGUCGGGUUCCUCUAAAUAUCUCCGUAGGGGCUCUAGCUAGUCGCUAACCCCUUGCCACGAUUUCUAGCCUCUUCCGCUGCGAAAGGCUCUGAAAUAAAACCUACAACAAAUGGGGGGUGAGAACUAUUAAACAAUAGUUCCCAAUGGAUAAGCCGCCGAGAGUGACGAAAUACACCACUAGGUCAACUGAGGCAUGCUAUAAAAGGGUAAGUAAACAACAUAUAUAUAUAGCAAGUAAAAUUAACAAGUUUAAACAUAAUCAUGCUUCCACUACAAGAUUAACUAUCAUGUAUAUGAUAUUCUAAUUACAUAUGUUCAAUUAUAUGCCCAUGUCGAUUAUAUGCAUAUUCAACUAUAUGCCAAUGUCAAUUUACAUGCAUAUUCAUAUGUCCAUAAUGCUACAAGGGUAAAUUAUGCUUUACAUUGCUAAUCUUCCAUGCAUCUAUACUAAUCAACAUAGAUGUAAACAUACUACUACUAGAGUGUCCAUGCUAUGGAUGACUAACAUAAGGUCCACAAAAUGCACUACCAUGCAUGUCAACUAGUCCAACCAAAAUGCACUAUCGCUACUAAGUAGUAGUUCCAUAUUUGGCUUUAGGUAUCAUAGUUCAAUCCUCGUCAAUGGAUCUACACAUGUGUAGUCCAGCUGCGCGCCUACCUAAUUGCGGUGGUAGCGCCAACAUUUCCUCGCAGGAAUGAGCCUGUCUCACACAGACCCAGUAGGUACCAAUCCCGCACAGGGCGAGUAUGUAUCGCAUUUAGGUCAACUCCGGAGUGCCGGCUUGUGGGGAGCGACCCUCACAAGCAUGUGGCGAUGAGCACAAAUGGCAUGGCAAGCGUGAUUAAUAGUAAUCUAGCUCUCGGUCAUCAUGCUAAAAUAUAGAAUAAAUACAAACGACCCAAAGGUCCAAUAUAGUAUCACAUUGUCAAGGUUUGUCAUUUACUAAUUCAAAUGUCAACUACAUGACGUUCAUGUUUACUAAGCCAAGUAUAAUCAUAGUUCAUAAGCACAUAACACUUUGUCAUUAUGCUAGGCUAGGAUAGUUCACAAAUGCCUCAAUAUCUCAAAUGAGAGUCACUAUAGCUAAGGGAAUCACUUUCUUAUACUAUAUGCAAUAGGUUUUACAAGAUAUUUAUAAUGUCCAAGAGGUAUGUCAUGCAUAAAACUUUCUACCAAUGGCUCACUUCAUGGAGUAAUAACUAUCAUGCAAGCGAUUUCAUACAAUUAAUGCUAUUAUGCAUUAUCCACCUUGCUAUUCGCCCAAGGCGUUCCAAUCAUUAUCCUCUAUGUCUACACAUGAAUAAUAUAUCGAUCCCUAGAUCGAUUGCAAUAUUUACAGAUGCACAUACAGUUGUUCAACUAGAUUAGAUUAUCAAACUUAGUUUCAUAUAGACCGUAUCAUGCACUUAUGUCACAAUGUAAAAUCUAUCUUGUCUACACAAUUUUCUCAAGCAAGCAACUAAUUGCUAAGUCCUUUCAUUUCACAGUCAGAUCAUGAAGUGAUGCUAUCGAUCUCAAAGUCAAUACAUUGUCAUAAAUCAAGCCCUAGGCAUCCUAACUAGAUUAAAUACAAUAUGCUUAGCUUCAUGUUUAGCCUUGUUAUUCACUAGGUCACGUGUCACAUUUCCUUGUCUACACAAUAUAUUGUUCAUCAUGUGAGAUAAUCACUUUGCUAAACCAUUCACUGGAUACCCCCUAAGAGUUAUACCAUCAUUCUGUUAGGUCCUAUGUGUUGGCAGUUUCGUGGGUCGAGUCGAGUCUUGAAGAAGUUCGGAGCGAAAUAUUGAAGAUCGAAGAUCCAAGACUUCGAAGAAUCGGAAAGGACGCAAAACACGUAAAACAUGAAUACACGAUGCGUAGGUAAGCUUUAAAUCUUGUUAUGGUGAUUCAUACUUAAUUAUAGAUCUUAGAAUCAUAUUUUCAAGUUGUAAUGAUUAGAAAGUUUCUAAGAGUUUGUAAAAUCCAAAACAAUGCAUUUUCAGCGAAAAUUGCAUUGCUGUACCGGUACAGCUUUUCUGUCCAGGGUACAGCCAUCAACGUUGCGCAGGAAGUUUGAUGGUUGUUCCGGGUACAAGCUUCAUGCUGUACCAGGUACAGCCUGUUCCGGAACAAGCAACAGCCUAUCCAGGGUACAGAAGCUUCGCAAAGAAAAAUCUUCCGUCAUGGUGUACCCUGGACAACAUUCCUUGUUCCGGUACAAGGUGCUGUUUUUGGAAAAGAAACUUUCUAAUUCGACUCCAAUUGAUUCUAAAGUCUAUAAAUAACUAUAGGGGUUCUCUAAUUAAUUAAGCAUCACGAAAAUACAUAUUUGAGAAAAACCUAGAGGCUCGAUUUCCAUUCAAACCUAUUUUCCACAAAUUAGCCUCUUUAGAUCAAAUCGAGAUAUCGUUUCGCAUACUCAUAUGUCGAUUUGAUCUCCGCUUUGCUUGGAGUUCUAUUCCCUGGUUUUCUACAAUACUCCAAAGGCGAAGGAUCACCUAUUCAUGAUAUUCUUCAUGGUGGCGUCGUGGAUUCGGCGUAUUUGACGGCGGUUCGUGAUUCGGAUCUGGGCUCGGAUUUCGAGUGGCGUCGUGGAUGUCGCGGUGAUGAAGCUCGUGAUUGAAGUGAAGGCGUUCGUGGACUCGCACGUGAGGCGUGGACAACCGGAGGGUAGCGCGAAGAUUCAUAAGAGGUUAAGAGAGUAGAGUCCGUGGAGUCGGUAAUCACUUGUAAUCUUUUCUCUAGUGAAUUUUUUUCGCGUGUUGGUCCCCGUGGGUUUUUCUCCAAGUUGAAGUUUUUCCCACGUAAAUCUCGGUGUGCUUUUUAUUUUCCGCAUUUAUUUUUUAUUGCAUCGAGAUUUGUGGUUUUUGGCCGUUCACUAUAUUCACCCCCUCUAAGGUGAUAGAUACAAUCUAGAUAGAUCCUUGGGCUCCUCAAACUUUCAUUGGUAUCAGAGCGGGAUCUAGAUAUAUUGAUAUCUAAUGGCCGAAGAAGGUAACAUUAAUCGACCACCGCAUCUUCGACGGCAACGAAUUAUGCCUAUUGGAAAGUUCGCAUGAGAGCUUCUUCUAAUCGCAAUCGAUGAGCGGGUAUGGAAAGCUAUUGAAUUCGGAUGGCAAUCCGAUUCUACCGAAGUUGUCGAUGGGCUGCUACCGUCNNNNNNNNNNNNNNNNNNNNNNNNNNNNNNNNNNNNNNNNNNNNNNNNNNNNNNNNNNNNNNNNNNNNNNNNNNNNNNNNNNNNNNNNNNNNNNNNNNNNUGCUUCCAACCAUCCCAGCAGUUAUCAGUAUGGCCGUUGAGAAAAGAAUACACACUUCCAGCUCGAGCCUUUCCUUGUGGGUGGAGCGACCAAACCCAUUUAUCUGGGCCUUCACCAAGCUGCAAGUUAGUAAUUGCAUCAACUAAAUCUUCUCCAACUAAACCUUCAAUGGAGUUAUAACACCAUUCCCCAUUCUCAAUGAUUUGGUUAAUAUGUUGGACUUUCUCCCCAAUAUUAGUCGCAAUGAAAGUCGGCUUUUUGCUGAAGGGUGUAGUGAAAAGCCAAGGGUGUUCAAGAAAAUUGGUAUUCAACCCAUCAGAAAUGGAAAUCUGCAAUCCCAAUUUGAUAGCUUGUACAGUAUAGUUUAGGGCCCGCCAAGCCCAAGAAGUAGUAGUGAGCUUAGGAUUCUUCCAGGGAUCAAGUUCCCCAUAUUUGCCCUUCAUAAUCCUCACCCAAGGCAAAUUGAUAUUGUUCAGGAGCUUCAAAGCAUUACGGGCCAUAAAAGCUUCCCGAGAUUUUCGAAGAUUACGAAAAUUUAGACCACCCUCAGUAAGAGGCUUGGUAAUGUUAUCCCAAGCAAUCAAAUGCAUGCCCUUCUUACCGCCAUGUUUUUCCCACAAAAAUUUUCUAAUAAUUUGGGUAAUUUUGUCAACUACUGAGUCAGGAAUCCAAGAAGCAGUCAUCCAAUAGUUAGGUAUGGCCGUCAAAGUUGCUCUAAUUAAGAUGGCACGCCCCGCUAGGGAGAGUGCAUUUUUUUUCCAGGAAGUUAAUUUGGAUCGAACCCUUUCCACUAGGAAAUUAGAUUGCUCUACCUUAACUCUUUUUCCAGAGAUUUGAGAACCCAGGUACUUAAAAGGCAUCGUCCCCUUGGGAAGAUUUAGCCAUCGAGUAACCAUAUUUUUCAUUCUAGCCGAUAGCCAAUCUGGGAGAUACAAGGCAGACUUAUCCUUGUUCACCCUCUGCCCCGAGAGGCAUUCAUAUUUGUGCAGAAUAGCUUCGAUGCCUCGACAAUUCCGUCUAGAGAUAGCACCGGUAAUAAGUAUAUCAUCGGCAUACAUAAGGUGGCUAAGGUAACUAUUGUCCCCAACUGGAAUUCCAGUAAAACUUCCACAAGAUUGGGCCUCAUUAAGAAGGGAUGUAAGUACCUGGGCAAUCAAGAUAAAGAGGUAAGGUGAGAGGGGGUCCCCUUGCCGCAAACCCCCAGCAGGUUGGAUCCAAUCCGAAGCUUUACCAUUGAUAAUAAAAGCAUACGUAGGAGAAGAAAUACAAGCCAUAAUCCAAUUAACCCAUUUAAUAGGAAAUCUCAUAAGGGAUAGCACAGUAGUCACAGAGUCCCAUCUAACCCGGUCAUAAGCUUUCUCCAUAUCAUAUUUAACAAUCAUCAUCGGGUGGUCUUUUUUAUUAUUCACCAUAGUAUGCGCAAGCUCUUGAGCGGCUAGGAUAUUAUCAGAAAUAUCCCUGCCCGCCACAAAAGCAGCCUGCUCAUACCCAAUAAGCGUAGGUAGCAGGGGUUUCAAUCUAUUAACCAGAAUCUUGGAGAUGAUUUUAUAACACACAUUACACAACGAGAUAGGUCUAAAAUCAGCCACUCUACUAGGGUUCUCUUUUUUCGGCACAAGAGUAAUAUAAGUCUGACCCCAUCCCUUCGGCAAAUUAGCAUGCAGAAAAAAAUGCUUAAUUGCUUUGCAAAGAUCCAAACCAACAAUAUCCCAAUAAUUUUUAAAAAAUUCAGCUUGUAAACCAUCUGGCCCAGGAGCCUUGCCAUUCGGCAUAGACCACAAGGCUUGCUUGAUCUCUAAGUCCUCUAUCGGUUUGAUGAGGACUUCAGCAUUUUCCUGCGAGAUAGCAGGCAAAUCAGGCCAACUGACAGGCAUAGAGUCAGUUCGAGUAUUUGGCAUCCAAAGAGAAAGAUAGAAACGACAGAACUCAUUAGUAAUAUCGACCUGAUUAGUAGCAUGGACCCCAUUAGAACAUUUAAUAAAAUUAAUACGAUUUCGAUGUCUACGAAUACGUGUGGUGUUGUGAAAGAACUUGGUGUUAAGGUCCCCAUUCUGGGCCCAUCUGAUGCGUGCUUUUUGCCACCAUUUGGUAUUAAUCUGUCUAAGCAGCGCAUUGUGCUUAUUGUAUAAGGAAUUUAGCUUCACAAUAUCAUUCUGGGAUAUAGAACUAUUAGCCUCAAGGCUCUCAUAAUAAUUAAUAUCCGCCGCCGUGCUAAUAAGGUUGGUUUCUAGAUUACCAACACCCUCUUUAUUCCAGUUAAGUAAAGCACGACGAAGGUUACACACCCGAUGGGUAAACGAAUGGAGGGGGUUCCCUUUGGCAGCUGACUGCCAGGUUCUUUCGACAACCUUACCACACUCAUCAUACUCAAACCAAAAAGCUUCAAAACGAAAAGGUCGCCGACCUUGGAUCUCAUCCCCCUUCACCAUGAUGAGUAAAGGGGCAUGGUCAGAGGCAGCUCUGACAAGGUGUUUGACUCUGACACCAGGGAAAAGAGAUAUCCAGUCAGGAUUAGCAAAAGCUCUAUCAAGUCUGACCCAAACCCGACUCCUUAUAUCUUGAUUGUUGCACCAAGUGAAAGCAGGGCCUUCAAAACCCAAGUCGAUAAUACCAGAAGUUGAAAUAAAUUCACUAAAAGCUCUAUUUUUGGGAGAAAAAGAGAAGGGUUUACCACCUAAUUUAUCAUCUGGAGAGCAUAUGGCAUUGAAGUCGCCGCAAGUGAGCCAAGGGAGGUUUAAUCCCCCUAUUUUCUCCAACUCUUUCCAUAGCUUACGUUGUUCUGAUAGCUUUACACUACUAUAAACCGAAGACAACACCCAUGUAGGGCCAUUGUCAAUGGUAAUGAUAGCAUGUAAAGCUUGUCUGCUCCUUUGAAUGCAGGUUACCAAACCCGCAUCAUCCCUCCAGGCCAUAAGUAUGCCUCCCGAACGACCCACCGCAUCAAUUGAUUGAAAGCGCCAAUUUCUACCCAUUGCACGAGCAAUCGAUUCAGAUCUAAUUCCUGAAACAUGGGUUUCAAGCAGAAUAAUCAUAGCAACAUUAUAAUUCUUGAUAAAAUUCCUGCAUCUAUUCUUGACAUCCUUCUUUAUCCCUCCAUUAAAAGACUCGGUCACCAAGAUACAAGUACAAAAAAGGUAUUAUAGUUAUACUCUGAUGUGAUCAAAAACAAAAGCGGGGGGAGAGAAAACUCGCCCAUGAUGGCCGAUGAGCCCGCCUCGAGCGGGGCUCUCAAACCUCCCCCCCUCACCCUCUCCGCCGACGGUGAGCUCUCUACCGGAGUACAGAUAUGCCGCCCCACAAAGGACUCGUGGCUGCUAUCGUAUCUGGGAAACGUCCUCAAGCGACAAGGGAGGCCUCAUCCCGAUGAGGUACUUGAUAGGCUUAAAGCAUCCAUACGGACUGUGUAGAGGUUGAUGAAAGCAUCCUUGAAGAGCGCGGGCACAAAUGGAAGUGGCCCUUUUUGGUAAGUUUUCUUAGGUAAGCCUCUCUCUAAACACACUUCGAAAUGCCCUGGCCAAAAUUUGCAAACAAAAAGGCUUUCCAUGUUGACAAUGACUGCAGAGGGCUUUUAUGUCUUCCGUUUUUCUAACGAGCUUGAUAUGUUUUAUGUGCUAACGGAGGUACCGCUGACUAUUAAUGGCAGGCCAUACAUUUAAUUAGAUGGAGGGACAACUUCCAACCAUCUGAUGAUGCCUCUAAAUGUGGCACGGUCUGGAUAACGACUUCAUAACCUCCCAUUUGAAUAUUUGGGAGUGUGAUCUCUAUUACCUAUAGCAGCGUAUUUCGGCGACCGCUCAGGGUGGACGAAACCACUAUUUUUGUGGAUAAGCAGAUAUGCUAGAAUCUGUGUUGAACUUGACCUAAGUAGCCUCUCUAAAAAGGGGGUCUGGUUGGGACGCCGGACCAGCGAAAAUUCGUACUCUGAUUUUAUAUGAAAUUUGCCACUGUUUUGCUAUACAUGUGGAAUAGUUGGACAUAGGGCCGAGCUAUGCCAUUUAUCGGAAGGAAGGAGGAGCCAAGUGGCUGGAGGUAAAGAAAAAAUCUACGAGUACUGAGUCAAGACCCAGUGCAGAAACCCCCAUUUUGGAGGAUGAGGCCUUUGCCCAUGGCUUACAGCUCGUCGAAGACGCCGGAGGGCGCGCCGAGAGAGCUCAACCGGGGUUCAAAACCCAAAUUUCUCAGUCGACCUACCAAAAAGAAAGACCCAGAAUGGUGGAGAGGUGAGCCUGAAUCAACCGGCCAAUGCGGUUUCCUCAAUCAAGUCGGAAACUCCAACGGUAGGGAGUCGACUUCAAAGUGAGGAUCAACAAGACAUAAGGUGUCCAGACAUUAAAUGCCCCUAAGAACUCUAUGGUGAUAACUCAGGGGCAAUAAAUGAUGUGGUACGUUCCCCCUCAAAUGAAAAAGAAACCUGCUUGGGUUUUAAUGACAGUAAUAAUGCACGUGGUAAAGGUGGCUAAAGAUAAAGUAAUCAUGCUCACCUAGAAAAGGGGCUGCCUCAACUCUGUGGCCAGGUAAGAAAUGGCCCCAACUCUUUUUAUUUGUUUGGGGGAUAACCAUGAGGUUCCCAAUCCAAUUAUCUCACAUCCAGAGACAGUGUGGUUUAAUGAGACAAGUUCACAUGGUUCCAAACCGAAAAAUCGAGUUAACCCACCAAUCCGCUAACCCCGCGAGUACUAUUUUUCCAUCUUCUUAUUGGCAGAAUACUAGUUGUGGCCCUCAAACCUUUCUCUACCAUAUGCCAAUAACCAAAUGGGAAAUCCGUGAGGGCUAUAAGCCUAGCCCAUCUCCCAUAAUGGGAGCUGUACAAGAGGUAAGUAAAGCCCUCCUAGUACAAUCGGAGGAAGGAAGAGAGUGAUCUGAAGAGAGGAUGUCGGUAUGGAUGAGGACUACAGCACGGAUUGGUCGUUGGUGCAUCGAUCAAAACGCGAGUACGUCACUUGACCGGACAUAAAAUGAUGAUAGUUCUAUGGAACUUGAUCAGGGGUCUUUCCAAAAGGGUAGAACCUCAGAGCCAUGACUCUUCCCUCUCUUUCUUUUUAUCAUGAUGCAAGAUUGUAAUUUGGAAUUGNNNNNNNNNNNNNNNNNNNNNNNNNCAUAUAUAUACAGUAUAUACACUAUGUAUAUAUAUGUACAUACAUAUAAUUAUAUGUACUAUUACAUAUACAUAUACAUAUAUAGAGUUGAGCUAGAAUACUAUCGUAGCGAACGGGCUCGUUGCCACCUAUUUGUUGUAAUAACUGAGAUUUUUGAUUAUUGAUUAAACCCUUUUGUUUGAUAAUGUUCUUGUGUGUAAUAUAAUUAUAAUGUUACUCGGUCAAAUUUCAGAGAAAACAGAGUUAAAAUGGAGAAGUUACCGACCCGGAAGUUUGACUUAAGUGAAUACGUAACUCCGGUUUUCCGAGAGCCGCGAAGUAGAGUGACUUUCGACGCGUAUCGGACUCCGAAUAAUAGCCUUCCAAUAGCAUCGUUUUCAACCGCUCGACUAUCCUGGACCCAAUGGCCUGACGGAUUGGAAUUGCUGCACGAAUUUCGAGAAAAAGGGGUUUUAAUGAUUUUUACAAUAUAGUUGUCUAUAUGUGUUUUUGUGUGAACCUAGGAGGGAUGGUUUUUGUCUGCAAAUCGGGAACCUUUUCGGGCGAAACGAAAUGUUAGAUUCGAAUGCCUCUGUUCGUGCUGAUCGCGCUGGUGCGAGUCCGAUCGAAAUCGGGCGGACGGAUCUUCGAUCGUUGAAAGUCUGGAAGGGCUGAUUUGAGUAAUCGGAUUAUUGCGAAAAGACCCGAUAUUUUAUGCGUCGAUUUGCGAGUUUUCGAAUCGGAGGACUGUCGUACAUAAAGCACUCGCUGGCAGGGAGCUGGCGUUUAAAAACCGUUCAGCCUUGAAGGGGUUUUCCGCAAAAGUCGCAGCAACCUAUAUAUAGGUUGACCUAGGUUUUCUUGAGCUACGCCUAACCCUAGAACCCCCCAGCUGACCCCAGCCGCCCCUGUCACCAGCACCUCCUGCCCUGCCGUGCUCACUUCGGCCGCCGCGAGCAGCCCGGCCGCCGGAAACCGCCUGCAGCCAGCCUUCCUACCUCUCCUCGGCCACCUCCCUCAUCAUCUAGCCGAGGCAUGUGGGUGGGUCCUCCACCGCUCUAGAAGCGAGCCCUCGGCCUCCUUUCCACCUCAGGCAUGCUCUUCCCCUAGCUCCGGCCAUCCCCCGACGUCGCCGGAGCCGCCGGAUGGAAGCUCGCGGCCAGCCCUGGUCAGCCCAGAGCGAGCCAGGCCGAGCCGCGGAGUUGCGGCGCUGCCACCCCCUCUUCUUUGGCCGCGCGCGCCUUCCAUCUGGCCCGUCGACAUCCGGCGUGCAUCCCCGCUCGUCCACUGCUCGCCGCCGGUGCCGCUGGCUUCCCCGCCACCCAGUUUUUGUGCGGGCCGACCUUGGAGCCGCGCCGCCCCCGGCGUCGCCGUUGCCCUCGAGGUGAGCAUCACCUUCCCUCGGCCUCCGACACGAAUCAUCGCCGUCCCGAGCUCCCCCGGCGCCGCCUCGCGCCGGCAGCUCCCGAACCCAGAGGAUGGGCCGAGUGGUCUCCGGCCGCACGCCAAUCGCUGCCCGCCCGCCGCCGGCACGCACGCUCCCCCGGACUUCUGCCGACGCGCUGCUCCAUCUCUAGCCGGAGCGCGCCGCGCCCAGAUCGGCGCGGCCAUCCCUAGCUCCGCACUGCUCGCGUGAGUAGUCCAUUUACUUGGUUCCAAGCACACAGUUUUGUGCUCUCGGUCACUGUUUUCGGUGAUCCGAUGACUUCCCCUUGGCCUCGGGGAGGUGAGCACGAUUGAUCGUGGGCUCGUGCUGUGACCACGAUGCUCACCUCCAUUUAGUGUUAACUGCGUGCCCCUGGUUACGUGAGUAAUGUGCUAUUCUUGCGCGCUGUGCGCGCUGUUCGCUGUUGUUACGCGUCGUCGUGCGCGCGUAGUUCUGCCGGCAGUGCUCCGAAAGGUAGCACGCCCAGGCAUGGCUGAGCCUAGCCAAAGCUUGAUGGUAUCCUCCAGUAGAUUCCCUUGGUUUGCUGGUACGACCCAGUUUAGGAGCAUGAAAUCACAUCAAAAUAAUGUGAUUUCAUGUGCCGUUACGGUAUUCUUUGUUCGGAGUGCGUUUUCGCUUCGUCGUGGUGCUGUCGCAAGUUAGGCUCUCGCAAUCGGACUGAUGCCAAGCCUCCAAGCCCUUCGAAAUCAAUCGCCAUCGGAGGCUUGCGGCCGAAAUCCGGCGCAUAAACGCGUUUCGACCUCGAGUCCUCCACUCCCGACGGUGGCCUCGUGGUUGAUUGUUAGCGUCGCUGAGCCCUUGUGGCUGGUCACCCGCGUCUUCUCGACGGUUCGGACAACGAUCGGUGACGACGGUGGAGUUUCGGUUCGAUUUCCGGGACUUCGGCUGGUUCGGUAGGUUGACGUUUGCAGAAACGAUUUCGACGGGGUUAUGAUUUGGAUUUUGUGUGACGAAUUGGUCGUGUUAUUGGUGUUUUUGGGUUAGAGCUCUAACAAGGAUGGACCCUUCGUAGGUCGGUCGUUGUCUUCCGCCUUCGGCCGAGAACGUUUCAAAGCUUUAUGAGUGGGUACUUCGAUCGACGACGUACGGUACAGUGGUGCACGGCUUGGUGAUGGUUUCUUACCCUUACUCUUUCUGUUUACUAUCCAUGAUUAUAUUGAGCCUUGCCACCCUUGGUUUAUUCGUUUAAACAGUACCCUGUUCUCGUACUCCUUUGUAUUCCAGGAGUUAGGAGCCCAUUAGAGCAGUAUCUCUUUAUAGCAUUAACUUGUUGAUCUAGUGGUUGCGUUGGUUGCUUUGUAUCUGUUGACCCCCCCCCCAUGUUGGUCUGUAUGUUGCAUUCAUUAUCCGAUUGCCUAGUUGCGUUUGUUGUUUUGCAUCAGUAUUGUUGACCUGGUUGGUUGGUUCUCGUACUUCGUUCGAUGACCUUGAGGUCGGAUAUACCUAAGGGGUGGGAUUGUCUGAGCUAACGCCGACGAUUAUUAUAGUUACUCAGUUGCUAUUACUUUUGGUUAUGUUAUGACGCUAGUAGUCAGCUUCCAUGAGUCCCGUCGGUCGAUGACCUCUUGGCGCGUCGGUGUACCCUAAGGGUGGAUUGUCGGCUGGUGCUGACCGGUAUGUUCUGGAUAUAUCGAGAUACCUCCUGUGACCUAUCGGUCGACUAUAUACAUAUACAUAUGUAUAUAUGUAUAUAUACAUAUAUACAUAUACAUAUGUAUAUAUGUAUAUAUACAUAUAUACAUAUACAUAUGUAUAUAUACAUAUAUAUACAUAUAUAUGUAUACAUAUGUAUACAUACAUAUAUAUAUAUAUAUAUGUAUAUAUAUAUAUAUGUAUAUGUAUAUGUAUAUGUAUAUGUAUAUGUAUAUAUGUAUGUAUAUAUAUAUGUAUAUGUAUAUGUAUAUAUGUAUAUGUAUAUAUAUAUAUGUAUAUAUGUAUAUGUAUAUAUAUAUGUAUAUAUGUAUAUGUAUAUAUAUAUGUAUAUAUGUAUAUGUAUAUGUAUAUAUAUAUAUAUAUGUAUAUGUAUAUAUAUGUAUAUGCGUGUGUGUGUGUGUGUAGAUAGGGUUGACCCCCUCACCCCUUCUUGGGUUGAAGCUGUCGCCGCCAAUGGCGCCACUGCUGCAGUACCCAAGCCUGAGACCCUCCAACGCUGCCUCCACCUUCGGCCAUGCUCCCUAGGCAGUGAUCCCAGCAGAGCCCCCAUCCUUAUCUUCUUCUUCUUCAUGUUGAGCUACCAACGCCGCCACAGCCGAUGUCCCCGAGGGUCGAGGGAUCUUCGGCGACCUCCCCUAUGUUGACUUGUAGCCCCAUCUACCUCCCUCGGCUUCCCCUUUUGGUACGAAUUGCUGUUGUCCCUGCAUCUGCUGUUGACUGUGGGUGGCCGAGCUUGGUCCUUUGGCCAUCGCCACCGCUGACCAACGCGAGCCCGGGUUCCUCUUCUCUCUGGUCAACCUCCCCCAACUCCUUUUUUGGGCAAGCUACCUCCUCUAGUUACUGUCGAUGGUGGUGCUGCUCUAGGCUAUCUCCGUGGGCGUUAUUUUGUUCGAAGUCUUUAUUUUGACCAUCCGGCGUCUCCGGCGACUAUCUGCUGGUGAGCACGGCACACCUAGGCAUCGAUGCUGGUCCGUGCUCCCCUAAGUUUCAGGUAAUGGUACCCGAAUCCCUAUUUUCAACAGUGCUCGCCCGGUGUUCGAUUAAUUGACUAAUUCUUCUUUCGACUUUUUUGGUCAAUUCGGUGGUCAAAAAAUGGAGUUCUUGGGAGCAUGGUGAUUGUGGGGAAUCCCUCUACACUGUACUCAUAUUGUUAGUGCGGAUCAGACGACUGGUAGAAUCGCGAGCCCAUCGUGUACCCGAAAUUAGCUCCGCGUCGCCAAUUUUUUCUCUCCGACGGUUGGCGAUCAUUUGGGUGAAUACUUUGUGGGUUCGCUGCAGCCAAAGAAGUGUCGACAAUCCCCAUGAACUGCUGGUCCAUUUCAAAUUGUGGAAGUUUUGUAAAUUGUACAAAAUCUCCUUUUCAUUUGCUUUAAUUGAAAUUAUGUGCAAUUACACUAUGUAUUCGGCUUCUCGAUGCUUUUCGCGUCGUGACAAGUGUUGGACAGUGGUGUUUAGCUUUGUGUGAUGUUCGAACUUAUUAUCUGAGGUUUGGAAACAUUUCAUGGCCAAUUUGGUGCGGAAUGACACAAAAUCGAGCCGAAAUCAGAUCGAUUGUGUGGUUUUCGAUUUCGCUAUCACGAAGUUGAUGUUGUUGCUAUCCGGAUUUGUUGUCGAGCCUUAUUGGCUAGUCUAGCCUAAUGUUUUGCACCCCUUGUGGCAGCGAGCGCCUCGUGGGUGGUCCGGAUAUCGAAAUAGGUAUCGCGAGGCCUAUUUUUGACUCACUUUCUGGAAUGGUAGCUCCCGCUAAUGCAUGUUUAUAUGUGGCUAUCCCUAAAACCUAACAGCGGGUGUGAUUUGGAGGUAUUAGGUGUGACUCAUGAGACUUCGUGAGGUGUAGUGGCAACUCGGUUAGUUUAUGCGGAUUUCGACAAAUUCAGGAGAUCGGUAAAAGUGUUUGAUGUUCCGAUUGUGCCGUGUGUUGCGGAUGACGUAUAUCACUAAUUAGUGAUGUUGCAGUGUUGUGAGGGCCUUAGGGCUUAUUACACAAUGCAUGUGUGGUCCGAUAUCAAAGUGGUUUUUGGAUCAUCAAAAUGGUAUCUAUAGAUUUCGUCGUGGUAUUAUUCAGCAAUCGUCAUCUACUUGUCGAGCACUUGGUGUGCGGUUAUCCCAACGCCUAAAGUAGUGCGUCUUGGGAGUGUUGAACUGUUGUUAUGACUCUCUACGGAGUCAGCUAUUGGUUGGGCCUGGAUUCGUGAGCUGGUUUAUAGAAUUAUUGUUCCGGUCGCGUCGUGUCAUACACGAGUGUUGUUGAGUUUGUCAGUGGAUGUAGAAGACGCGUAGGAUGCUCUUUGUGGCUUUUGGUGAUUGUAUCUUCUGUAUAGGUGACGGUUAGAUACAUUGGUUGAGUCGAGAACUCGGAUACUUGGUGAGGUGGGUGCUCCAUUCCGAAGUCGGCAAAGUUGUAUCUUACUCGGUUUCCCCCUUAUUUGAUAUAUUUUAUAUUAGUUGAGUAGGACAACUUCUCUUGACUUCAUAUUAGUACAUGCUUUCACUCUACAUGCAUGUUGCUUGUUAUGUUGAUUAUCGUAUUGAUUCGCAGUCCCUUGAUUGAGCUCUCUCCUAUAGCUCGUCUGUGACAUAUAAAGUAGGUGGUGAUCUGGUGGAAUAUUCAACUAUUUAUGAUUGGAUCUGAUAGGUCAGUGUUUACUCAUCGUUGAGUUAUGACCAUGUUAGUCGAUCAUUAUAUCUUAUGUGAGAUCAACUAAGCUGAUCGGCGUUUACCUCCUCAGAUUUGACCUUCGGGUUUGGAUGAGUUGCCUUAUCAUGAUUGGGUUUCAGCAUGCUUCACCUUAAUUAUCUGCAUUAAUGUCACCUUUCUACGUACCCGUGUAGUGUAGCAUGCUAGUUGACCUAGAGAGUAUAGAUCUUAGCAUCUUCGUUGACAUCUAUUGAAACUACCUCUUGGCUCCUUCUGUCACCUACGAGCAGUGAGUUUGACUGUUAAGUCUAAAUCAGUGGAGCUUUGAGUAUAUACAUAUGACUAUACCUUGUACAACACUGGGGGAGCCUUAGACAUUCUUCAGUUGACAGCCUAAUGGGAGGUGAUGUUUCAUUGAUAGGUUUCGCCACCUUGAGUUCUCACCCCCAGAUUUGAUAUACACUGUGCUUAGACAAAGUUAACGACUCUCGGUGUUGGUGAUUGUGUCCCUCCAGAGUAGUACUUGAUUUUUUAUCUUCGCAACCUAAUGGGCGAGCUUAGGCGGGGUCUUGAUGACCGGUCACAGUGAUUGGGUAUACUUGGGACUACUCGCACGUCCAAUUGAUGUAUAGUAUCUCUAUUUAAGUUGUGCAUGGUAUCUGGUAGCUGUCUAGCCACUACAACAAAAACGGUCUAUAGCGACACUUUUAAAUGUAGGUACAUGUCAAAAAAGUGCUGCUAGCUAAAAUUACCGACACUUUUAAAAAGUGUUGCUAUAUGUAGGGUCGCUAGGUGUAAGGACUGAGAUUUUUGCAGUGUAGCUAAACUCUCAGUUGACGAUGUUUUUGUGUGUAAUUGAAUUACAAAAGCACUCGUCAAGUUUCGGGCGAAAACGAGUUAAAACGGAAAUUCUACGCGAUUUCCAAGUUUCACUUAAAGUGAAUAGUAACUCGAUUUUCCGGAGAAGCCACGGUGUGAAGUUGGCUUCAGGCUCGUAUCGGACUCNUACAAAAGUACGGCCAAAUAGAAAAGAUGCAAUGAAUGGAAGCUAAAACAUAAUAGAUAAUUCAUUUGUUGAUGAACAAUGCAUAAAAUACUUAAUUUAGCAAAUUAAUUCACAGGUCAUCCAUAAUUUUCAAUGGUUUUUUUGUCAAAAUUCAUAUAUAACAGUAGCGAACAACACAGAAAUAGUGGAGCAACAAAUAAUUCGUGAAAAAUCUCUAAAAUUUCUAAAAAAAAGAAAAUAUAAAAUCGGAGAACACAGUGACUAUGCCUUAGACUUGGUGGGGAACGAGAACAAGGCGAGGUCGAGGGCGAAGGGAGGAGCCCAGGAUUUGGGUGGUACGAUGCGGCAGAUCCCGAAGGGCUCAGCGAGGGGCCGGAUCUGGUCUAUGUAGGCGAGCGGGUCCACGAACUCCUCCUCCGUGGGGUAGAACACGGGAGCGUGGGGGAUGCCGACGCCGCCGCCGCCGCCGUCGCCGCCGCCGUAGGAGGCGGCGGCGGCGGAGGAGGAGGCGGCGGCGGCGGAUGAAGGGUCGGAGAGGUGGGCGGCGCCGCCCUUCACGACGUCGCGGGGGCGACCCUUCGCCAUCUAGGGUUUCGGUUUGCGUUGGCGCGGGGGGGAAGAAGCUCGGGUAGUUGGAGGAGGAGAACGAUAGAGUGGAUUUUAGUGGAGGAGAAUGAUGCGUCACGUGAGAGACUAUAUGGGUCGAGGUGGAAGGGGUUCGUGGAGAUGGUGAUCGGAGAGGGGAGAACGGGAGAUAGCUCGUGACUCAGUUUUUUUUUUUUUUUUAAGUAAUUGGGCCGGGUGGGGUGGGGUGGUGGAGCAGGAUAAUUUUUUUGUAGGGCUAGAUUGGGCUUCAUAUUUGGGCCUUGAUUAUUUUUUUUUAAAAAAAAAUUGGAUAUAUAGGACACUUGUAUAAAAGUGUCCCUAAAAUGUGUCACUAUAACCUAGUUUUGUUGUAGUGUAACUCGAUUUUUCGGAGAAGCCACGGUGUGAAGUUGGCUUCAGGCUCGUAUCGGACUCCGUUCCUAGCGGUCCAAUAGCUCGUUUCAACCGGUUCAGCUGUUCUGGAACUAAUGGCGCUGACGGAUUUUGAGUUCGAUGCACGGAUUUCGAGAAAAUCCAAAAAUACAUAUUCUAUAUGUAUUUAGGUGUGUUUUCUUCUGUUGAAAGGAAGGUUGGAUUUUGUCGUGAAUCCGUGGUCGAUCGAGACGAAACGAAAUCGUAGCUUUGUUGUCUCCCUCGUGCUGAUCGCACUGGUGCGAUCCGUUCGCAAAUCUGACGGACGGAUCUGCGGAGAUCACGCAUUGAUCGAGGAGAGGUCGGUAGUGGCAAAACGAUAUUUUCGCAAAAGUCGCGAUAUUUUAUGUAUCGUUUCGCGUGAGAUCGCACGUGGAGGGGUAUUCGUGCAUUUUAGUCAUGCUGUGAGGGACUCGGUAUGAAUUACCGGUGUUUGGUGGACCUUUUUGCAAGUUGCACCUUGUAUAUAUAAGCUCUUUAGGGUUUUGUUUCACCUAACCCUAACCUAGCCCUAGCCAACCACCCAGCCGCCUCCCUCUCCUUCCCCUGCACCUGCUGCGCGCGCCCAGGCCGCCGCCGACCGAGCCCCGGCCGGCCAACCACCGCGGCAGCCACCACUUUCCUCCCUCGCCCUCUCUUUCUCUCUCCCUCUCUCCUCUCGGGUUGUGUGGAGGCUCGGGGCUGCGCCACCUUUAGACCCUCCCCCAGGGUCGCCCCGUGCUCCGGCACCCCUUCCCGCCGGUCGCCGUCGCCGCCUCGGCCAGUUGCAGCCGCCCCAGCCCGAGCCCAGGCCGAGAGUUUGUUGCGACCUCUUUCCCGCGUCGCCGCCAUCUUGGGCCACCCCGAGGCACUUCUCCGGCCUACUGCAACCCGCCGCCGACGUCCCCGACCUACCCCAGCCGCCGCCAUGGCCGCAGCUUCCUUGGAACCCGAGCCCGAGCUCGUGUGGGCUGAGCUUGCUCCGCCGCUGCCACCGCCGCUUCUCGUCUCCAACGGAGGUGAGCUUCGUGNCACGUCUUUGUCAUGAUUAAUGUGAGUGGCCUCGUUCCGAAUGUGUUGAACCGGCCGCCGCCGGCCUGCCGCCCGCAUAGCCUUCGUCCGCCCAUGGCCGCUACCUCCCUACGGUCCCGCGUGCAGCCGGCCGCAGUCCUCCGCCGCCGUCGCUGCCCGUAACUACGGGAUCGGCGUGCUUUACCACCCCUCUAGCCGGCUGCCCCUCGGCCGCCGUCUGCUUACGCCGGUCGGACCCUCACGGCCGCGAGUGCGAUUGACCACCGUCUUCCGCCGCUACCGAGCGUCGAGUCCGCGCCGGUGGGCUCGAGCCGAGUCGUCUCCCAGCGCGCCGCCGCGGGUUCCGCACGCCGCCGCUGCCGCCGGUUAGACCGUCCUGCGCCCCCACGGAAGCCAGUACUCCCUCCAGCCGCUACACAAGGGACAGUCGCCGCUGCGCCCCCUCCGCUACGCCGGUAAGGAGACAGGUAUGACCUCACCCGACGGGGUCUCAAGUGCGCGCCACCAGCCGCCGCGGGCCCCUGCUGCCCCUCCCCGCGGCCUCCAGAGGCCUCUACGGUCCUCUUGCCGCACCGGCCGCCCUUCGUCGCCGCCACGCUCCUCCGUCCCUAGUGGGUCCGAGCCGGACCCACUGACAAUCGGCGUCCUUCGAUCUCGCCGAGGCCGCCGCGUACCCCUGCCAUCUCCGGCCGCCGCUACCACGGCUCUACCCGGAGCCGGUGUCCUUCUUCGAAUCAGUGCUCAACCACGGUAGACUCGAGUUCUCAACUCCUUCCACCACCGAUCCACCUCUCCUACCACCUCCUCUCCGGCUAGAUCCAAAAGCCACCGGCCCCUGCGAGCGGCCGCUGGCCCCGUACGCGUGACCCACCUGUCCCCCUCGAUUCAGUUGAUCCUGACGAUUCCAAUCGGCUCCCUACCUAAUCCCAAUCCCAAAGUGUACCCUUUGGGAUUUCCAUGAUAUAUAUGUAGUUCCAAAUUAACGGCGAAUCAGAAGGCUUCUGUUUAUAAAAAUUGGGCCAGGGACGGGCACGCACAUUAUACGCUCAUGCGUGGGGCUGCAAGCUUUAGAACGCUUUGUCGUGUAUUUUACAAUCUAGAAAAGCGCUAAAGAGGUAAAACGAUUAAAACUGGAGAUUCACUUUUGAUACGUUUAUGACCUCUAGGCAGACAGCUAAAAGCUAAGCUGACGUGGUAGCGUAAGUCGUGCAGCCCCCGUAGUUUUGAUGUUAGAACAAAGUAGUCUAAACCGGUGUCUAAGCGCUGCCUUGGGUAGACGAGAGAUUGAUUAGGUAUAUAGUGUGUAUAUGGUUACACAUUUGAUUAAUUUGGUUCAAAGCGUAAACUUUAGCUGAAGGGAUACAGUACGGGGCCCUGGCCGCCUCCGGGAGGGCCAUCGCACGGGUCUGGGCGGUAUACAGAUGUGUAUAUUCCGCAGAUGUGAUUUUCGCCUUCAUUUUCGUCCUCUAUCUUGUUUAUUUUCAUCGCUUUAUUGAUCGUUGAUGACUAUAGUCUCGUUCAUCUCAAGAUAGUAGAUGUGGUUUCAUUUCUUUUAUUUCGAUCAGUUUGUUUCUAUUGGUAUUCAUCAUGUUAUUGGCAGAGAUCAUGUUUUUACCGCCAGAGAUAUGUAUAUGCCCAUGUUGAGAGUUGGAGAGUGUUUUUCUUUUGUGCUCUCCAUCUGGUGGAUAGCUUGCUAGGGAGCCAUUCGUGCGAUCGGGCUCCGCUAUGGGAAAGGCGCUAGGGACCGGAGAGGGACGCACCUUCCGAGACUUUUUGUAGCUCUUUUUCUCCCGCACUCUUGAUAUUAAAUAUCAAGGGUCACCCGUUAAUGACUGGAGUCGAGAACUGUUUAAGGUUCGGAUCGCGGUUUCGGCGAUCCGAAGGCACCCCGAUGAUGAAGAAAGUGAGCACGAUCAUCCUCUUUCUGUGCUGAACAUCAUGCUCACCUUCGUUUAGGUCUGAGAUUCCCUGGUUAGCGAGUUCAACGCGAUUUAUACCCUGUGCGCGCUGUUUCGCUAACUUUCGCGUCGCUCAUGCAGGUGCCACAGUAGCCGGAAGUGCUCCGAAAGGGGAGCACGGCCUCCAGCACCCCGAGACCUAUCAACGGGUGUCUCGGUUCAGCUAAAUAACCCUCAGGUCGCGCUAGUGAGUCAUAAAAGCCCCGAAAUCACAUAAAUAAUGUGAUUUUGGAUAAUCGGGUGGGCUUUUAUGCAUUUUCGUUCGUCGUGGCUAUUGUUGGCAGCAUGUGCGGGCAGUGGAUAACCUAUGGACUGAUUGUCCAAGGCCCCAAGCCCUUAUGGAAAUCGAAAAGUGAUUUCCGGCACAUUUCUCGGCGAAAUCCGCCGACGGAACGUGGGUUCGGUUCGGAAUUCUUCCGACGGUGCUUCGUGAUGAUUAUUUAUGUAUAGUGGUAGCGAGUGACUCAUAGCACGAGUCGGUGUGUUCCGGGACAGUUCAUGGAUCCCGGCGGUGUCCCGGUGCGAUUUUCGGGACUUCCGACGAGUUACGGUAGUCGUUUUUGGGAAACCGAUCUCCGUGGCAUUAGUUUGUGGGAUGUGGAGUCAGUGGUUAUUAGUGGUAGGUUAUACACUAACUCGGUGGACCUUCCUUAGGUCCGGUUGAUAUUCUUUUUGCAGUCAGGAGACAGACGCGACAUCCUUACAGGUGGGUACUUCGACCCGACGUCGGUACAGUGGUGCACGCUCGGUGAUGGUUUCUUACCUUUAUUCUCUCGUUAUUAUCUGGCAUAUAUAUAUAUCUUGCUAUAUAGUGUUGAGCCUAGCACCAUGUUGUUUCAGUUAUGCUCUACUCGGUUAUUUUCGUUAUAUCUAGUAUCAUGAGUAGGAGUAGAGUAGUUAUUCCAUGUUUCUUUGUUACUCUAUUUAGCUGUUCUGCAUAUCCGGUAUCAUGUUUAGAGUAGAGCAUCUUCGUGACUUUCAUUGUUUGAUGACCGUUGAGGUCGGUAUAUCCUGAGGAGUGAGAUUGUCGGUUAAUGGCCGACGGAUGAUUAUAGUUUUCACAGAUCUGUCAUUUGACCCUUUGUGACCUAGUCUGUCAGUUCUGGAUUCUUGUCGUUUGAUGACCCACGAGGUCAGUGUACCCUGAGGGGUAGGAUUGUCAGCUAGUGGCUGACGGCAGUUCCAGAUUAUAGUGAUACAUUCCUGUGACUUAUUGGUUGAUUCCUGCAUCUAUACUUUAGUUGAUCCAUCGAGCAGUAUUUCCAUACUUUUGAGAGGAUGUUGAGUCGAUUCGUUGUGCAUAUAUCCUAGUUGACCUGAGUGGUCAGUCCUUGUGGUUCAUUGAGCAGUACUUGCAUAUGUUUGAGAGGAUGUCGAUGUUGUCCCAUCCUAGUUGACCUGAGUGGUUGGUUCUUGUGCUUUCUUACAGUUGGAUGACCUUUUGGUCGGUUAGCCCCGAGGGGCGGUGAUUGUCGGCUGAUUGCCGACAGUUGGCUAUUGAUCAUAUCUGCAUUGAUCGCCACAGCUCGAGUGCAUUUCACGUACACCAGCGGGUUGAUCCCCCGCAGGAGGGUGUUCUGUUCCGGAAAAGUGGUCGUACAUCCGACCCGUGAGCCCAGCGGUGUUGUCUUUGUGCUAGGGUUACAUGCCAGGUGUGAGCAGGUAGUGGCUUUUGCCUGAGGUCCUUAGUCCGACACGGCGGUUUAGAUUGGGUACUUUUGGACUUCUCGUCCAGUUGACGCAUAUAGCUAUAGUAGCGGUUGUUGUAUAUAUACUUCUAGUUCUUUCUUUACAGUUGUCUUACUACUAUAGUUUUGAUAUCCUUGUAUACUUGCAGUUGUACAUUAUAGUAGCGGUAGUUGUGCUUUCAUAUAUAUAUCUCAUUCGUUCAUUAUCGUUGCUACUGUAUUNAUGUUGUGAGCUGGUUGAAUUUGUGGAUUUGUGGAAUUGUGGAUUUGGUUUAUGGAUCUUCAGUUUUGGGAUGUUUGUAUACUUUGUGGUUCGCGGAUUUGUAUUUAUGGAUUUACGCAUCGUGGUUUUCUACCCCUCGAGGUAGUCAGUUUUUAAAAUAGAGUUUCCGUGUGGAAAACAGUUUUCAAAAGAUUUUUGAAUGAUUUUCAUGUAUGAAUGAAUUAGAUUUUAAAAACAAAAGCUUCCGUGUGGGGAGCACUUUUAAAUAGGAUGAUUGUUGUACUGUGUAUUGCAUCAUCCAGCGUCUAAGGAGUGUUUAGAGGCAUGCAUCAUCUCUAAGGAUUGUUAGCUGUAUGAAAAUGCAUAUCAUGAAUUGGUUGCUGAUUGAAAAAUGUAGGUUGUGGUUGUGAUCCUGUUGUAUCCGUUGGUACGCCGUGCAAAUACAAAGGAGACUCUGUCCGAGUGAACAGAUGAACUUUGUAUUUGUGGCGGGUCUGUACGUCACGUGGGCCAGGUUGGAAAAAAAAAAAAAAAUGGCACAUCUUCCGCGACUCUCAGAUUUCAAAAUGGUAAUGGCUUUUAAGAUCGGCCCCAGGGCGUGACACUAGGUAUAUAGUGACAGUUAAAGAGUGCCGCUAUAACCUAAAAGAGUACUGCUAAUUUUCCAACACUUAUUUAAGCAUUUAGCAACCGCCGAAACUCUAUCUCGUUGGCUGCGGUGGCGGAAGAGGACGACAGUAAAGGCUCUUCGUUUAAAAUUUCAGUGGAUUGAGUGAAGAGUGAAGAAAAGAUGGUAAUUGAUUUUUCUUUUUUUUUUUUCUUUUCUGUUUGUAAUCGGGCCAAAUUGACUCGGUGUGGUGGGUUGAGUAGAGUAAUCUUUUAUUUUUGGUUGGAUUGGGCUUUAUAUUUAGACAUUAGUAGAUGUGUUUUUAAGUUUUAGCAUAAAUGGGACACUUACUCAAAAGUGUCCCAAAUAUGUGUCCCUAUAACCUAAUUCUGUUGUAGUGAGCUUACAGUAGCAGCAUCCCUCGUUUAGUAGUUUAUGAUAUUUUGUUAUUCAUCAUUUUGCUACUGUAGUUGGUGGUCCUAUUAUCUUGGGAUAUAACUUUGUUUACAAUAGCGGCAUUACCUUGUGUUCCACUAUGUGAGAUUUAUCUAUGUGUUUUGCUACUGUAGUUGAUUAUCUUUUAUUUGCAGUUACCUUAUUUAUCGUACUCCUUUUGUUUACCGAUGAGUGUGGCUUGCCCUUGUCGACUGGUUGCCCCCAUUAGGAAAUAUAUUUAUAUGUAGACAGUGCGGGUCGAGACACGGUGUGACAAUGCGGUUAGUUAGCGCCUAGACAGCUCGUGCUAUGGAUCUUAUUGUAGUCUCGAAUUUACUCUCUUUACCAUUUGAUAUUGUGGAUAUGUCCGUAUUUCAAUAUUAUGAUUUGAGUUUAGUUGAGAUGUUGGAGUUUUCCUAUUGUAGUAGUUUAGUGGAUUCUGAAUUAUGAUUUUGGAUUGAUUAGUAUUAUGAUUUCUGAAUAAUGAAACUAUUUUGUUAUAAUUACUUGUGGUUACUUAUUUGUGUUCCUGCGUCAUGCAUGUACAAGGAAGACUCUGUCUGCAUGGAUAGGGGACACCAUGUACAUGUAGCAGGUCUGUGCAUGUCUGGGCAAGGUUUACAAAAAAAAAAAAAAUUAUGCUUGUCCACAACUCUAUUUUCAAAUUAGAAAAAUUCUUCAAAAUUAGCUUUCAAAAAAAGACCCAGGCCGUGACAUAGAUUUCAGCAAAGCAACCAACAAAAGUGAAAGAACCUCAAUUUCUACUUAGUAACUUUCACCAAAACAAAAAAUUAGACGGGAGUUUGACUUAGAGAAAUUUAAAUAUCACUGCAUUUCUUAAGUUCCACCAGCAUUUAAGUUCCGUGGUUCCAAAUAUGCCAUAAGGUGGAACUUGUUGGCGUACCACCAAAAUGAAUGUACAUUCUAUGCAUGCAUUGCAAAAGAGCAUAUAUAUAUAUAUAUAUAUAUAGAGAGAGAGAGAGAGAGAGAGAGAGAGAGAGAGAGAGAGAGAGUUGAGCUAGAAUACUAUUAAUAGCAAAAAGUUUUUUUUGCUAUCAAAUUUUUAGCCUUUGGAUUAAUUUCUUUCAUCAUUUUUAACCAUUGAAUUAAAUAUUAUAACCUAGUGAGGACCGCUCAAUCCUAAGGGACUAAUAUCAUCUUAACCCUACAAUUUCUCAUCCAAGUUUUAAAAACUUGAUAGCAAAAAGAAUCUUUUGCUAUCAAUAGUAUUUCAGCCUAAUUCUAUAUAUAUAUAUAUAGAGCAGGGCUGCUGUGCUCUCAGGAGCACGGAGGCCUCCGUGCUCCUGAGCCGUUUUCGAUGAUGGAAUUUUCGAAUCGACGAUCGGCUCCGUUAGACUUGAUCUAGCGCAUUUGAAGUUUCUGGAAAAUAAUUUUUGCGAUUUUUCGAUAUCAUUUACAUAGUGAUCGAAAGGAUUCAAAAUCUAUAAUUUUUAAUGGUUGAUAUCUGCCGUUUUCAAGUUUAACGGUGUAGAAGUAUUCAAAUCAAAUGAAAUUUUGAUAGAAAAUUAUUUAUACUAGCUACAACAAGAUCUAUAUUUCUGAUCGAAAAUUUUAGUGCUAUAUCACCACUUUUAAUAGGAUUUUUAUUUUCAGCCGUUAAAAAUUAUUGAUUUUGAAUCCUUUCGAUUGCUAGGUAAAUGAUAUCGAAAAAUCGCAAAAAUUAUUUUCUAGAAACUUUAAAUACGCUAGAUCAAGUUUAACGGAGCCGAUCGUCGAUUCGAAAACUCCAUCAUCGAAAACGGCUCAGGAGCACNACGGAGGCCUCCGUGCUCCUGAGAGCACAACAGCCCUGCUCUAUAUAUAUAUAUACUAAAUUACAGAAAACAUUCCUACUAAAUUACAGAAAACAUUCCUGUCAAUACCCGUUUUUCACUUUUCCUCUUGUCAUUCAAAAACCUACACUUUGCCCUUUUGAAAAAUAAAAAAUAUUCACAGGGAGAUACAUCGUGACAAAAUAACCAAAUAAAAUGUUCACAGGGAGAUACACCGUGACAAAAUAACCAAAUUGUCCCUGAUCUUCUUCGGGCUAGUCGUGGAUGAGGAGGCGAGGGCGAGAGCGAGGGCGAGGGUGAGGCGACGGCGGCGAGCGAGGAUGUGCGUGUGGGCAUGGACAAGGGUGCGCGAGGGCGAGGCGGCAAAGAGCAAGACAGCUUGGCGAAGGUCAGUGAGAAAAGAUGAGGGUUCCAAGGACAUUUUAGAUAUAAAAAAAUGGAUAUAAACAGACCCUACCGAAACACUGACGACGAUGGGCCAAAGUGUACAUUUUUUAUUUUUUAAAAGAGCAAAGUAUAGAUUUUUGAAUGACAAGGAAGGAAAAGUGAAAAAGCGGGUGUUGACAAAUAGAUUUUCUAUAAUUUAGCAAUAUAUAUAUAUAUAUAUAUAUAUAUAUAUAUAUAUAUAUAUAUAUAUUAGGGCUACUAUCCUAUUAAUAGGAUAGUAGCACUUGUUCUAUCAAGUUGUUCUUGAUGAUAGAGAUUCCGAAUCGAUGAUCGGAGCCGUUGAAGUUGAUCUAGAGUAUUUGAAAUAUCUAGAAACUAAAUUUCAUAAAUUUUAAAAAUUAUUUACAUGGUGAUCAAAGUGUCGAAAAAUCGAUAAUUUUUGACGGCAUAUAUGAGCCGUUUGCUUGUUUAACGGUGUAGAGUAAUCCAAAUUACUUGAAUUUUUGAUAGAAAAUUCUUUAUACUAUUUAGUAUGUUUGAUAACUCUGAUUAUGAAUUGAGAAAGUCUAAACCUCUAUUUUAGAAGUUAUUCAUUCUAUGACGCGUUCAUUUUUCAACUCUUAAGAUGAACUUGAUAAUGAUUUUUAAAUAUUACAAAAUUUGGUUUCUAAACAUUUCUAAUUGUGUAGAUCAAUUCCAACGGUGCCGAUUAUUAAUUUGAAUUUUCGAUCAUUCAAAUCAACUUGAUAGGACAAUGUCUCAAUCCUAUUAAUAGGAUAGUAGAUGGACUAUAUAUAAUAUAUAUAUUAUAUAUAUAUAUAUAUAUAUAUAUAUAUAUAUAUAUAAUUGAGCUCCUAUACUUUAAAAGUACCAAGUAUUAGUGUUAUAGAUUUUUAGCCAUGGAUUAUGAGAUAUGCGGUUGAAUGAUAUGGGCCCCUAGUUGGUGCGAGGGUGGUUGGUUGAAUAGUAUAAUCUAUAUGUUGAAAAUAAUCAGAGGAGUAGAUCUAAUAAUAAAAAAUUUAUAGCACCAAGUGCUUGGGUUUUACAAGCACCAUAGCUGAACUCUAUAUUAUAUAUAUAUAGUAUAUAUAUAUAUAGACUACUAUGCUAUCGAAGCACGGAGCCUUCCGUGCUUCCAAGCUCGUUUUCGAUGUUGCGACUUUUGAAUCGUCGAUCACUCCGUUAAACUUGAUCUAGAGUAUUUGAAGUACUUAGAAAUAAAUUUUAUGAUUUACGAUAUCAUUGCCUAGUGAACGAAGGGGCUCAAAAUCAACGCGCUGAAAAUAAAAUCUUACAAAAUGUAAUAAUAUAAACUUAAAAUUUUAAAUCAAGAUAUUGAUCUUGUUUUAUAUAGUAUUAAAGAAUUUUCUAUCAAUUUACUUGAUUUAGAUAUUUCUACCGUUAAACUUGCAAACGGCUCACUACGGCCAUUGAAAUUUGUUGAUUUUAAGCCCAUUUGAUCACUAGGCAAAUGAUAUUGAAAAAAUAAUAAAAUUUAUUUUCUAGGUACUCCAAAUACUCUAGAUCAAGUUUAACGAGUCGAUCGACGAUUCGAAAGUCGCAACAUCAAAAACGAGCUGGAAGCACGGAAGGCUCCGUGCUUCCGAUAGCAUAGUAGCCUCACUCUAUAUAUUAUGUAGGGCUACUAUACUCUUAUGUAUAAUAGUAUAGAACCCUUCAUACUCAUAAGUGUUUUCAAUGAUAAGCUUUCGAAUCGACGAUCUUACUUCGUUAAAAUAAUCUAGAGUAUUUGAAACUUUUAAAAAUAAAUUUCGUAAUUUUUUAAAAUCAUAAUAAAGUUCAUCAAGAGGUAUAAAAUGAACGGUCAAAAUCGAACGACAUCUUAAAAUGGAUGAUCGGAUCCUUCAAUUUAAAAUCAAAGUUAUUGAUCUUUAUCUAUGUAAUGAAUAAAAUUUUCUAUCAAAAUUCAAACCAAUUUCGAUUCUUUUACACCGUUAAACUAGCAAAAUAUCCCAUACUGGCCGUUAAAAAUUGUCAAUUUUGUGACCUGUUGAUCGUAAGGUAAAUAAUGUCGAAAAUAUAAAUUUGAUUUCUAGACAUUUUAAAUGCUCUAGAUAACGUUUAACGGUGUGGAUCGCCGCAUUUGAAAGCUUUAUUAUCAAAAACAAUUUAUGAGUACGACGCGAGUACUCAUAAGAGUAUAGUAGCUGGACUCUAUAUAUAUAUAUAUAUAUAUAUAUAUAUAUAUAUAUAUUAUAUAUAUAUAUAUAUAUAUAUAUAUAGAAUUAGGCUGGAAUACUAUUAAUAGUAAAACGUUCUUUUUGCUAUCAAGUUUUUAACCCUUGGAUGAAAAAUUGUAAGUUCAGGAUGAUAUUAGUCGGUUAGAGUUGAGUGGUCCCUACUGGGUUAUAGUAUUUAAUCCAAUGGUUAGAAAUAAUGAAAAGAGUUUAUCCAAAGGCUAAAAAACUAGCAGCAACAAUGAAAUUUUGCUACUAAUAGUAGCCCAAUCCAACUAUAUAUAUAUAUAUAUAUAUAUAUAUAUAUAUACUAAAAUACUAUUAAUUAGCACCAAGUCAUUGGUGCUAUUAAGUUUUCAGUCCUUGGAUGAAGCGAUGUACGGUUAGGAUGAUAGUAGUCCGAUGAUAGUAGUCCUCUAAGGUUAAGUGGGUGGUUGGUUGAAUAGUAUGAUCUAACGGAUGAAAUAAUCGUUAGAUGAAAUAAUCGAAGAGGUUGAUCUAAGGGCGAAAAACUUGAUAGCACCCAAUGCUUAGUACUAUCAAUAGCAUUAUAGCAAGCCUCACAUAUACAUAUAUAUAAUGAGGGUACAAUACUCAACACUAACAGAUUAAUUUUGUACAUACUACCAGAAUAAUCACACAUGCUUGGAAAGAAAACACAAAAUUACAAACACUAAUAUUUAAUAUAGUCGCAACUAUUACCAUGGACAGUCAUAAACAGUUUCUACUCUACUUAUACAAGAGGGGACCAGACCUUGAUGCUGCAAACCUCGGCGUUGGGCUCAGUCCUUGAACUGUUGAACUCGACCCUUCCACAAACUUCACUUUCCGGCUCGAACUGUAGCCUAACGGGCCCGACCGCCUCAUGCUACGGAGUAGCUUAUCGCCCCCCUUCAUCCUCGUAGUAUCUCCUUCAUAGACUUCAGUUGAUGCACUAAAAUGACUAGAUGAUUCAUAAGCAUUACUUUGAGGGGUGGAAUCCCCCUUGCCUUGCCUAACAGCCGGAGAUGCGUGUGCAAGAGAAAUAAGAGGUGAUUGUCUUGGAGAUGGUCCUGAAAGUUCGGUGAACGCAGAUGAAGAAGUUCCGUACUGUUGCCUGAAUAUUGAGCGGAUAAUUGUGUACGGUAUGUGAACUUCAAGAGUGCUUCUUGGCAUGUAGGGGGAGAGUUCGCAAAGGUGGUCCAGGAAUAUUAGCUUGGGUACGAUAUGUGACCUGUAUGGAAGAUGAAAUGAAGAAACAGAACUUAAUUAUAUAGGGCACAAUACAAGCACACAUGAAAAUACCGCCAUUAGAGUGUGCAACAAAGAGUCCGUGCAACAAGGAGUGUAAUUUGCUUGGCUCGGUUUUCUCUCCAAAGGAGAUAUAAUAUGAAGUGCAUAACGAGAAACAAAGAAAAUGCCUAGAUACUAGUUUGAGGGCAUGUUUGGUUUGAAGGACUUCAAACUUGGAAUGAGAAUGGAAAUGAUCCAUCACUAUUGUUGGUGUUUGGUUUUGAGCGAUUGUCUUUCCGAUUCCCAUGCCAGGGGGAAUAGAAUUCCCUCAAAAUGAGUCUAUUCCCCUCAAAAUGAUGCCCACCACAGAGGUGGGAAUCAACUUUGAUUCCAGAGGAGAUUGAGAAAAGAACUCGUUUCUUUUCCACUAACAAUUAUUUAAAUUCAAAUAUUAAUCUAUAUUUAAAUUUAAAAAUAAAUUAUAAUUUUCAUUUGAGUUUGAAUUAUGAAUUCAAAUUUCAGAUUUUAUUUUUUUUAAUUCAAAUGCAAUUCUAGUAUAAGUUUGAUAUUUGAAUUUAGUUCUAAAUUUAAAUUUUGAAGUUGAAAUUUAAUUGUAAAAUCAAAUUUUAAAUUCAUGAGUUCAAAUUUUGAUACGGACUUGGAUAAUAAAUUUAAAUUUAGAACUAAAUUCAAAUAUCAAACUUAUACUAGAAUUGCAUUUGAAUUAAAAAAAAUAAAAUCUGAAAUUUGAAUUCAUAAUUCAAANAUUUAAAUUUUGAAGUUGAAAUUUAAUUGUAAAAUCAAAUUUUAAAUUCAUGAGUUCAAAUUUUGAUACGGACUUGGAUAAUAAAUUUAAAUUUAAUUAAAAUUUAAAUUUGGAUUCAAAUUUUGAUAUGGACUUGGAUAGCAAAUUUGAAUUUAAUUAAAAUUUAAAUAUUUUGAAUUUUAAUUUGAAGGUGAUUCCGAUGAACCAAACAAAUCAGGAGUUUUCGUCAUUUUCAUCAUUUUUUUUCAUCCCAGUCCAUUCUCAUUCUUAUUCCUAUUUCAAUUCAUGUUUUGAACCAAACUUCCAAAGAGUAACUAACUAGUUAAUCAAUAUCAUGAACAUCAGUCUGUUUCCCUCACAGACAAAUUGUACCUUCAGAAAAUGCUAGAAGUACUAAUAUAACUGUGCUCUACUCAGAAAGUAAAAGAAAGUACUAUCAUAACCGACGAUCACCCCAAUCACAUGCUUUUUUGACAUUUCACUAUUGGAAGAAGCUGCACACUAGUAAGAGGAAUCAAAUUAACCACUUUUCCUGUUGAAGAUGUCUCGAAUUCCAGAACAGUAAGAUUUCUAAUCCUAUACUGUUUUGGGUAUUCUAUUAAGUUUAGAUUAUCCCUAAUCUUAUUGAGGUUAUUGCUAGUCUUAUUGGGUUUUAGUUUGUAAUAUAAAUAUAUCUUUUAUUACAUUGAUUUGAUGCGACAUAUGAGAGGGAAUAUGGGGCAUCUUUUGGGAUCAGGAUUUUGUAAGAGGCAUAUUUUGUAUUCCAGUUUGAUUAUAAUAAAAGUUUUCACUGUCUUCACCCGUGGAUGUUAGCCAAUGGCCAAACCACGUAAAUAUUUGUGUAUUUUAUUUUUCUUAUAUUUUCUUAUUCUCUUUUGGUAUUUUUGUGCCUGACAAACCAGAUCUUUUCUGCUUUCAUCAUACUCGUAUCAGAAUAAAUCCAGUAUCAGGAUAAGUUGCAGAUUCAUAACAUUUAUCUUUUAUCUGCUACAGGUGCAUUUCCUUCAAAUCCUUUGAAAUAUACAGUUCUCUUCCCUAAGAAAAGGAGAUUACGAAAUCCAAUACCUAAAGGGUUCAGGCUACCGGUCCUUCAAACAUACUAAACCUUGUGGUGCAGAAAGAUUGAGUGGAGCACCAGACAUAACUAGGAAAAUUGUACAAUUUAGAUCCAACUACUAAAUUUUUACAAACCUCUUAUUUUCCCUUUUCUAUUUAGGAGAAGAAUGGGAUGUGUUACCUUAUACCAAAAGGUAUGAACAAAGGAGAAAUGAACCAAGGAGAAAACCACUUAGAAAAGCCCAGUUAGCACAAAGUUAUUUUCACGAAAAUAAUUGUCACAAUGAAAUACAGGAUUUUGCCCAACAGGAGAUAAUGCAAUUGCCAGUACAGUCCAUAGGCAUGGCAAGCAAGUGCCUAACUCUAGUCCAUGACAUAUAUCUUUUAUAUGGAGAAAAGGCUUAAAAAUGUGAAUCAUUGAAGUUAAGGCAUAGCAUUUAGAUGAAUCUGAGAAGCAGCACGGAAGUGGGAAUACUAAAUAACAAAGGAAUGCCUGGCAAGUGGCAAAUAUACAUAAUUUUGAGAAAUAACUGCUGUAACGAGGAUUUUGCACUAUUCGAUCCUUAAAAGUUCUAAUGAGUAUUAUGGAAUUUGGUACCUGGUAUUAUCGUUCCAUGAAUCCAGCACAACCACCGCAGAGCAUUUGACAUAAAGUUGCAUAGCAGAUUUUAUAUUUGCUUCAGCAGAGAUGCGGUUAAGUAUCUCAGGCUCUUUUGUCUUGUCAGCACGCUCAUUCGGAAAAGGCUGCCUUUGCUGUUCUCUCUCGAUCCUAAUAUACUCACUUCCCCCGAUCACAGCAUUGAUACACCUAGAAGAAUCCAGAUGCAGUAGUUAAUUUAUCUUUCCAUGCAAAUGUUCCCUCAGUAAACCGACAUUCAGCUGAUUGUCGAUGAAACUUCUAGAAUGUGAUACUUUUAGUUGAUAACAAUAUGAUGAUCUUCACAGAAGAAAUAUUUCAAGAAAUAGAGAUGCAUUUAGAUGAAAUAGUGGAAACUGUAGAUCAUUCCAUCUAGGAAGCUUUAAUCUCAGAUUAUAAGAUAACACCAAUGAUUGUCAACAUUUUAUUUAUUUAAAUAUACAUUAUUUUCUAGGGAAAAAGAAAAAGUAUCCGCAGUAUUUGACAAUUUAACACCUACCUGUGGUUUCUACUGUCAAGAUAUAUAAUAAAUACGAAUAGAAAAUGUCAAUGUUAAAGAAAAUUUAACUUCUAUUUUUCAAUCAAUAAAAAAAAUUCUAACAGUAACUGCCACAGUUAAUGCAGCAGUAUAACCAGAAAUAAGAAAAGAAAAUCCAUACCCAAGAAUAAAAUGAGUUAAACUUGAGAACCUAGAUAAUGAGGAUUCCAUACCUUGAUAAGCAAUGUAAGUUGUUGUUGAAUUCCCCAGUACUUACAUUAUAAGCAGUCAUACUCCAAAUAUUUGACGUCAUAAAUGCAGCACAGAGAUAUGGAAGAAAGCUCCAAGAAUUAUCAUUUGCAGCACCUGCCUCAGCCAUAAUUGAAUGCAUCCACUCUGUAUCGUGAUCACCACCAACACCAACACUGCUCGCAAUCCUUUUUAACCUAGAAAUUUCAUCCUUCUCAGGUAGGUCCUCCGGCAAGUGCUUGGCUACACCUUGUAAGAGCGAGAAAAUAAGAGGCACCUUUUCCUCUAAAACUGCUCCAGCUGCCUCAACAAGCAGCUUACGAAAAGAUAUUGCCUGCCCUGCCUGAAUACAGAAACCUACCAAUGUUUCCAAAUCGAGAAUUUGCUUUAGAUUUGCUUCUCUUUCGAUUCUAUCGCCGUUAUUUACACUCCCAGCAAAGCCCUCUAGGGCUUCACGGUUCGACCGCAAUGAUGUAUCAAUGCAGUUUAGUAAUGCAGCUGUGUGCUCUCUCACCAUUCUAUCAAUCCUGUCGAACCCGUAGCCACCAAAAAGGCGAAUAAGGGCUUUGAGUUCUCUCACAUCAGUGAAUGACUCAGCUAGAUAUCCACCAAUAGGCUGCAAGCUCGUAAAGCAAUUAUCUGCAGCAAAGGCAACUCCAGCACAAGAAAUAUCUUUAACAAUGUAAUCAAUGUACCAGUUGCUGAUAGUCUCAAUAGAGGUUCCAGUUUGUAUAUCUGCAGGCCUUUCGAAACCUUGCAAGCCAGAAAAUGAGCCACUGAAGCUCUCGGUUAAUAGAACUUCUCUGAUGCCUUCAAUGAGAUCCAUACUAAUAUGCUGCUCUGCCAGGAGGACAAUGUUGAUGUGUCUUUGUAAGAGUGAUUCUAUUAUAGAUGGACGCUGGAGGCAAUUUUCAGUUCUUAAUACUGCAUGUAAUCUUCUUUUGAAGUUUCCGAGGAUACAAUCUCUCAUGUACUGUUGACAGGAGCAAAAAUAUGGGAAGCAAUUACCAAACAAUAAUGUUUACUAUUAUAACAAGGAGCGGAAAAUCAAAAAAACUAUAGAAAAAGAACAAUCCUAAAAUAUAAGUAAUAUAUGUCAGUGCCUACAACGAAAAAAUUCUUUUAUUUUAAAGAGUUACCUGCAAGUCUCCGGGAUACUAUAAACUACACAUCAUUCUCACUUUGAUAUGGUGAUUCGUACAAUUGCUAACUGAUUAUUCUUAAUAGCAUGACCAUCGGAAUCAUGGUUGAGCUAACCAAAUACGGCUGUUUUCGUUAUGCGAACUUAAUUUACUAGCUCAUCUUUAUCUUCAUACAUAACCACUUUUUAAUUUUCAUAUCUCUAUGCACAGAGGUUAACUAAAUAAUACUUUUGCUUCAUUUCGAAUAGUGUUAAUGCAAAAUGUCCCUAGUCUGUUGAGUUCCAAUAUAUUGUGCAUCAUAUCCACUUCAACUAUAAAAAUUUAAAAAGAAAAAGAGGAUUGGAUGUGAUGAUCCACUCUUGCUGGUUUACACUUGAUACCAUACAAUUCACGGAAUGAGUACAUAUGCAAUGAUAUAAUACAUUAAUGCCUUGAUAUAAUACAUUUAUGCCUUGUGAUCUAAGAAUAAUUGACAUGUCACUACCUACUGUAAGAUGAAAUUUCUUAAUUAUUCAAAUUUUUUUCUGCAUUCUGGUGAGUUCAGAAAUAGCAAGAUGGCUACAAAACCGUCCGAAACUUUCCAAGUCAAUUAUAUUUUCAAGUUGUUCUUAUAUAAAUUCCUGCCACUUUCAAAACAUUUCACCUAAAUCUCAUGCUCUCAAACUCGAAUAUCCGCACAACAUAUAUUCCCAUAUUAGGUUCUACCCAUUUCGAUCAUAUUAACGUAAACAAUUGUGGAUUGUCAACUACAGCAUUUAAAUAUUGCCAUGCACUGAAAUAAAAAAUCUACUAGUUUAAGAAGUAAUAUAGCUGAGAAAUAAACCAUAAACUAAAGGAAAUCCAG
rnacentral:lncRNA from 1 species